UUCAUUUUUUUUUUUUUUAAUUCACAUUCAUACUUCUAUGCAUAUUAAUCUAUAUAUGUAUAUAUAUAUAUAGAAUCUUAUUUCAUAAAAUCUUAUCUAAUAAGAUUUUCUCUCUCUCCAAUAAAAUUUAAUAAUUAAAUAUUCAUUCUUAUCCAACUAAAUCAAUCUAGUGAAAAUCUUAUCUCAUAAGUGAAUAUUUAAUUAUUCUCUAAUCCAAUUAGAGAUAAAUAUUAAUCUCUCCAAUAUUUAAUUAGAUCUUUCUAAUUUUGAUCUUAUCCAAUAAGAUUACUUACUAAUAUCUAAAUCUCAUUUAAAUAUCUUUUAUGAUUAAAUAUUAUCCACUAAUCUAAUUAGAGAUAAAUUUAAAUCUUGCGCAUAAUUCUCAAACUGAUUCUGAUAUCCUAAUCUAAUUAGGACUAUCAGUUAUAACCGAAUUGAAUAAUUAAAUCUAAUUUAAUUAAACAGCUUCUUUUUAUUUUCAUCGCUUACAAUAAACUCUUUAGUGAACGACUCUCAUCCAAAUGAUUCGGGUGCACACAAUUCCUAAUGUGUGUGACCGCAUAGGUUCAUUACCAUUCGGCAGUGGAGCUCAACAUCAAACUCUUUGAUAUUUAAUUAGAACUCUUCUAAUCAAUAAAUAAGAAUAAUUCAAUUCCAAUCAUUCAUAUUCUCUCACCGUUCGUGAGUGACACCUAACAGUAUAUCACGGUAAUCCAGAAUAGUGAUGAAAAAUGAACCUUUCUGCUUACAGUUACCAUGUGAUUAAUUCCUUCUAACAUACAGUGUCCCAAUCGAACUAAGGUUAUGGUUAUUCGCCAAUCCUUGUCAUUCGACCAUAUGACUAGAAUAUCUGAAAUCAACUCAAUAUGGUAACACAGUUAGAAACUCUUUUCACAUACCAUGUACUCUGGCCAGGGGUUUUCCGAGUCGAGUCUGAUAAACUACAUAGGACAUUCUCCCUCAUCAUUGAGAGUGUUGGAUUCCUUAUUGCGCAUUCACAUGCCUCCUCGCAUAAAUCACCACAGUCAAUCAGUACCGAACAUAGACCUGUAUCUAGAGUCUAAGUAUUAGUACUGUCAAACGGUAGCAACCUAUACAUGAAGCAACUAUGAUGCCUCAGGUCCGAGGAGUACUUCACACAACUAUAGCAAUGAACUUAUCACUGGCGAGUAUAGAACCAUGUAACUGUUUAACUAAAUAGUCACGCUUAGUAUACUUAUUCUCUAACAAGCACUUGUAUGCUUGUUCUAGUGUCACUACACUAGUGACUUGAGAUUCGUCACCUCAAUUAGAAACAUAGUAUACACCGGCCUAUCCGGAAUAUCAUCGUCCCUGUAAUAUUCCUCUGGCUAUGAGCAUUUAAAGAGUCUCAUACAGAAAAAUACAUAUAUCAAAUUUCUAUCUCUUAGGAAUUUUUUUUUUUUUUUCAAACAAAAACUCUAUGGACGAUUCAUGUCAAUAUUGCACUGCUAUAUAAUAGACAUGAAUAGAAUAUCUGCCCUCAUAUUGUGAAUUAUAAAUAAUUAAUACAUAAAUACUCUUAAACUAAUGUCACCAAAUUGGCUUUUGGGCAUAUAACUAAUAGGAUUAGUGCUUUCUACUAUUCUCUAUGUAAUUUGGUUUUUCGUAUAGUUAUAUGUUCAUCUUAUUAUGUUGAUUAUCUCUCUGAUUUCUCGUUGUUGUAGUUUAUGUUGUGGUUGAUGUGAUAGUUGAAUGUUUAUACUCUAGGUUCUUACGCCGUGCAUGUAUAGACUUUGUCCAUUUGGACAGGAGAGACUAUUUAUUUGGCGGUUCUGUGCACGCUUGAAGCAGCCUUUUGGUUUUGGUAAAAAAAAAAAUCAUACGUUUUUCACUUGUUUUGUUUUCUAUAAAGGAUUUUACAAAAGAGUUUCGGGGCAUGAUAUUAGGAUUUGAAAUAGUCUUAUGUAUGAGAUAUAAUAAAAUAAAAUUUUUAACUCGGCUAUAGCAUUUUGGACAGUGGCGAAGCCCAAGAGAGUUAAGCGUGUUAGGAUUAGAGUAGUCCUAUGAUGGGUGAACCCGUAGGAAGUGAGGCAUCACAAUAUAUAUUAAAAUAAUAUUAUAUUUUUGUUAUUAGGUCCAUAGUGCACCCGGUGCACAAAUGGAAUGGACACAUGUCCACAAACAAUGGCUCCUUUCUAUUGGAAAUUAUUGCCUGCACCUAGUAUAUGUGUACAUUUCCUACGCACCAAUAAAUUUAUACAAUAGAGUUGUCAAAACUAAAAUUUAAUUUAUUUUAUACUAUUCUAAAUGUCUAUAUAUUAGAAACUAUAAAAUUUAGAUAUAUAUAUAUAUCUAUUAAAAUAAAUUAUAUUCUUUUAUUAGGUCUACGGUGCAGCAGGUGCACUGAAUAUGUAGCAAGAUACAUGUUAACAUAUCAGGAGUGCUCCAUGCCCUUUAGUAUGUAGUAAUAGAUAAUAGAUUACCUUCCUAAUAAAUUACACCUUUAAUUCUCAAACAUUAAGGCAGUAGCCACUUUGUUCCUCAAACUAGGGAUGCAAACGGAUCCGGGUUGGUGGAGCUCCCGCCCCGAUCCGCCCCGACGGGGGUAGUAAAUGGGAGAAAAUAAACGGAUUCGGGGUGGAAAACGAGGUAAAUUUUACUAUCUGAGACGGAUUCAGGGCAGGAAACGGAAGAAAUUUUGACCCGCCCCGAAUCCGCCCCGAAUCCACCCCACCAUGAUCCGCCCCGAAUCCGCCCCGAAAAGUAUUUAUAUUUUUAAAAAAUAUUCCUAAAAAAUAAUGUAUUUACAAAAAAGUUUAAAAUACAAAUAACUUAGUACUCUUAUUUCUAAUAUAUUUGAAACUUUUAACCUGUCACGGAUUCGGGGCGGGAGGCGAGACGGGUUUUUGCUAGUCGGGGCGGGAGGCGGGGCGGGGCUCCCGCCCCCAGAUCCACUCCGUUUGCAUCCCUACCUCAAACUUAGUUAUUAUAAGUUUUGGCUCAAAUCUUUUAAAUUAUUGUAAUUAAGUUCUACAAUCUAAUUCAACUAAUUGAAUACUGAUAUUUUGCUAAUAUGGUAGUGAUGCGACAACUCAUUACACUAUAAGAAAAGAUAGUAUCAGUGGCAAAGAUAAGGUGGCGAUAAAAAAAAUUGUUACCGCUUAAUAAUUAACUUAAAGUGGCAAUAUUACUUUCAUCACUAAAUAACUAUAUCAUUACAUAUGGUGGUGAUAAAAAAAACUGCUACCGCUUAAUUAACUUAAAGUGGCAAAAUUGCUUUCGUCACUAAAUAACUAUAUGUUCAAUAUGGUGGCAAUAAAAAAAUCGCCAAUUAUUAUUUAAUAAAGUGUCGAUAUUAUUUUUGUCGCCGCUGUAUAAUCACAUAUGUAAGGUGACGAAAAUUAAAAUUAUCACCGAUUAAUUAACUUAAAAUAAUAUUAUUAUUUUCGCCACUAAAUAUCUAUUUUUCCAUCACUAUAUGAUCACAUACGGUGGCCAAGAAAAAUUUGUCAGCACUACAUUAAAGUAGUGAAUCAUUUACUUAUCGGAAAGUGUCUGAAAGGGGAAGAGUAGUUUCUUUUUCUUUUUUCUUUUUUUUUUCGGGAGAGAGAGAGAGAGAGAGAGAGAGAGAGAGAGAAGAGUUGGCAGGUAGUGCAUUUUAGCCGAAUUAUCAUCCUAAGCCACUUUUAGACAGUAGGUCAUUUUAGCCUAAUCACUUAAGAUUUUUUGGAGUGGUGUGUAAACAUUAAAUGAUUUUAAACUCCUAAAUUAAUUACGUAAUUGUCGUAUCAUCCAUUAUAGCACAACAACAUCACUAACAUAUCAAUGAUAUAUUCUUAUUUAAUCAAUAAAUUAGAAUGUGAGAUUUAGUCGUAAUAUUUUAAAAAGUUUAAGCUAGAAAUCACAAUCAAUUAAAGUUGGAAGACCAAAUUGUCACUUACUUUGAAGUUCGUGGACCAAAAGAAUAAUUUAGCCGUAUUUUUUAGUCCUGUUUUUUUUUUAUACAGCAAUUCUACGUAACUUUACCACUAUUAAACAGUUAAAUUUAAUUAUUUUUAUUUUACUAUAAUAAUCUGUUAUUAAAUAGGAUAGUAAGUAAAAUUUUUAAAAAAUUAUAGAAUAGUAAAGUAUAAAUUGUAAGAUGAUAAAAUGUCAUAUUGUACUGCUUGUAGUUUGUAAAAAAAUGUCACAUUAUUAUCCUAUUUUAUAGGAAGUCCUGACAGUGAAAUAAAAAUAAAAUUACCCAAUAAUUAAGUUCAACUCUUUGAAGUAAAGAGUGGCAAUGUAAAAUUGCACUGGAACUACUGAGGAGCAAAUUUAAAUUGACCUAGUCCAAUUAAAACCUAGACUAUGAUACAAUUUUGAAAAAAUUAUGAAAUUCAAUUUCGAUGUGAUGUAUUGGACCUUAACAAGUGAGAAAUGUUGCAGUAUGAAUUUUAGUCAGCACUUUUUUUACAGUGCUUGACUAAGAUGGAGACGUUUUGGCAUGAAAUAAAUACAAAAACGGGCUCAGAAACGUAAGAUUUAGCUUGUGGGAAACUAAAGUUAAAAUACUAGACUUUGAGGGACUUAAUGACAUUUUUGCAUUUGAAGUAGGUGGAGUCCACGAGGGCAUUUCCAUCCUUAUCCUUCCUUUCGAUAGAUUUUGAGAGCGAGGAAGAAUUUUGAGAGACAGGAAGAGAGCGAUUGAGUUGGCUAAGGAGAAAAAAAAAAAGAAGCAAGUUUACUUUUCUUUUCGAGCGAGCAAGUCGAGCAUCGUGUCUUUCUUUUGAUGUUUCGGUGCCAUAAUUUUUGCACUAAAAUUUUGGCUCCAUUAUCUUUAUGGAGAACAAUGUAAAAUCUAUACUGAUUAUAAAAAUUUUAAAUAUUUAUUUACGCAGAAAGAAUUGAAUUUGAGACAACACCGAUAGUUAGAAUUACUGAACGAUUAUGAUAUAACAAUACUUUAUCAUCCCAAUGAUGAUAAUAUAGUGGCAAAAGUAUUAAGCCGUAAAUUAGUGCAGAAUUUGAGUAUGAUGAUUACUAGUUAAGGGCCAUUGCCAGAGGGCUGAGGCGGUUGAAAUUGAAGGUUGUAUUCCUUGAAGUUUUUGCAAGACUUAUGGCUAUGAUCUUGCAACUCACUUUACUAGAAAAGAUUAAAGAGAAAUACGGUGGUGACUCGCAUUUCACGAAAAUUCGGACAGAAUAAGAGAGUGGACAAGUGAAGGAAUUAAGUGUUGAUGCCUCACAGAUAUUGAGAUUUCAGGAUCACUUGAGGAGAUAUUGAGGGAAGCACAUAGUUUCUCCUAUACUAUACAUCCUGUAGAAACAAAGAUGUACAAGGAUUUAAAAAUACAUUAUUGGCGGAAUGGUACGAAAAGGAAUAUUGGGAGAAUUGUAACACAGUGUUUGGCCUGUCAGCAAGUAAAAGCAGAAUAUCGAGAACCUGCUGGCAGACUGCAAAGUUUUCUAAUUCCUAAAUGGAAAUGGGACAGGAUCAUUAUGGAUUUUGUAAUUGACUUAUCAAGAUCACAGAGUGGACAUGAUGUGAUCCAUGUGAUAAUGGAUAGAUUGACUAAAUCUGCUCACUUCAUAUCAGCUCAAGUGACAUGGUCUAAAGAGAAACUUGGUCAGAUAUAUCUGGAUGAGAUCAUAAGCCUGCAUGGAGUUCCUACCUCUAUAGUGUCAGAUCGAGACCCAAGAUUUGUAGCACAUUUUUGAAAAACUUUACAGACAGCUUUGGGGACUAGUUACAGUUCAGUACAGCUUUUCAUCCGCAGAUUGAUGGACAGUCCAAGAGAAUGAUUCAGAUAUUGGAGGAUAUGUUGAGAGCAUGUGUCUUCGAGUAUGGUUGUGAAUGGUCGACAUUUGGUAAUGGUAGAGUUUAUAUAUAAUAAUAGUUAUCAAGCAAGUAUCGGAAUGGCUCCAUUUGAAGCAUUAUUAAGCAAGUAUUAGAAUGGCUCAAUUUGAGGCACUGUAUGGAAGAAAAUGUCGAUCACCACUAUAUUGGAUUGAAAUGGGUGAGAGAAAAACUCUAAGACCAGAUAUUUUAGUAGAAACAGAAGAAAAUGUUAGAAUUGCCCGACGACAUUUUUAGACCGCUCAAAGUCUACAGAAAAACUAUGCUGACACACAGCGUCAAGACUUAGAGUAUUUUCAGAUUGGAGAUUAUGUAUUUCCCAAAGUCUCGUCAUCUAAGGAAAAAACAAAGGAUUAGAAUGCAUGGAAUGCUUAGUCCACGAUUCAUUGGGCCUUUUGAAAUAAUUGAGCGAGUUGGGCCUAUUGCAUAUCGAUUAGCUUUGCCGCCGAGUUUAGCAAGUGUACAUGAUAUAUUUCAUGUCUCAACCAUGAUAAAAUAUAUGUUUGAUCCAUCACAUGUAAUAGAUUAUAUUUUGCUAGAGAUAACUGAGGAGAUGAGUUAUGUUGAGCGAUCAGUUCGAAUUCUUGCACGAAAGGUAAAAGAAUUACGAAGCCGAGUCAUUCCUUAUGUAGAGGUAUUAUGGAGUCAACGAGAAACGAGAGAGGACAUGGGAGUCUGAGGAUGCAAUGUGAGAAUCUUAUCCCUAUUUAUUUGAGCAGUCGAUUUGAGAUAUAUUUUAAGUUUCGAGUUAAGUUUCGAGAACGAAACUUUUUUUAAGAAGGGAAGGAUGUGAUAUAUUGGACCUUAGCAAAUAGGCAAUGUUGCAGUAUGGAUUUUAGUCAGCCUUGUUUUUAUAGUGCUUGACUGAGUUUGAGAUGUUUUGACAUGAAAUGGAUGCAAAAACGGACUCAAAAGCUCAAGAUUUAGCUUGUGGGGGACUACAGUUAAAAUACUAAACUUUGGCAUUUUUUGCAGUUGAAGUAGGUGGAGUCCACGAGGGCACCUCCAUCCUUAUCCUUCCUUUCAUUAGCUUUUGAGAGAGAGAGAGGGAGAGUCAGUUAAGGAGAAAAAGGGCAUUUAGAACGCGGUAUGAGUUUUAUGAAUUUAUAAUAAUGACAUUUGGAUUAACAAAUGCUCUAGUCGCAUUUAUGGAUAUGAUGAAUCAGGUAUUUCAGCCAUUUUUGGAUAGGUUUGUGGUGAUAUUUAUUGAUGAUAUCUUGAUAUAUUCCCGAAGUAUAGUUGAACAUGAGGAGCAUUUGAAAAUCGUAUUAUAAAUUUUGAGGGAAAAGAAACUUUAUGCUAAACUAAAGAAGUGCGAUUUCUAGUUACGAAAGAUUACUUUUCAUCGACAUGUGAUUUCAGCUGAUGGCCAUUAUAGUUGACCCAAACAAAAUUAAAACAAUUCGAGAUUGGCCUAGACCGAUAAGUGUUUAUGAGGUGCGAAGUUUUCUGGGGUUGGCUUGUUGUUAUCGUCGGUUUGUAGAAGGUUUUGUGAAACUUUCCACACCCCUCAUUCAACUGACCUGAAAAAAAUUAAAUAUAUUUGGAGUGAGAAUUUUCAAAGAGGUUUCUGAAGAAUUGAAAAAUAGAUUGAAGUUAGCCCCUAUUCUUGCCCUUCCUAUUAUAAGUGAGGGAUUUGUUAUUUAUAGUAAUGCAUCAUGGACUGGCCGGAUUGGAUUAUGUAUUAAUGAAGAAUGAUAGGAUAAUUAUCUAUACUUCAGACAGUUACAAUAAUUUGAGAAAAAUUACCUUGCGCAUGUGUUUUUUUUUUAGUGUUUCGACGUCAGGAUUAGUAUCAUAAUAUUAUUAUUAUUAUUUGUUUAGAUCUUUUGAUGGAUUUUUGUAGAGAUUGAAAGUCAAAAAUGAAUUUUUAUACGUUUUAGGAGUUGAUUUUGUAUGAUUUUGAUGAGAGAUUUUUUGAGCCACUCUGGGGUGUUGUAGCUAUUGUUCAUAAUACCGGAUCACUUCGCUGUCCCGACUAUUGUUUUGUUUUUUGGAUUUGCGCUAUAGGUGGGUUCCAUAUCGUCAAAAUUGGCAGACUAACUCUUAUAUCCAUAUUAUAUUAUGUAGCCUAUGAGAUGAACUAUUGACAUAGUUGAGAUAAUAAUGAUAUUUUGAUAUUUACCUGUAGAGUAUAUUGAGUCAUGCAUUAUUUUCACAGUUAGUAUUAUGUGAUAUUGUCUUGAUGGCCAAUAGACAGCGACAGAUAGUGUGAGAUUAGAAUUGUAUGUAAGACACUAUGACAGUAUUAUCAUGAUUUGUUUAACCAUCGCAUUUGACUACAACAUGCAUGUUAUUUUGAGCUUGAGAGUAAUACUAUACUCGAUUGGGGUAGCGCCCCACGAGUGCCACUCCUGAUGUUAGGCUAUGAAGUAUUAUUAUGGCAUGGGCCAGACAGUAGUCUGCGUGGUAGUGGACCAUUAUAGAUGGGUGCUGGACAGGAGGCGGCGCAGGCUAGACUUGAUUGUUGAGUCGAUCACUAUGAUUGGACAUUAUUAUACUAUUUUAUUCAGUAUCUAGUUGAUGCAUGAGUUGCAAAAUUUAGUUACAUUGUAGAGAUAGAUAUCAAUUGUUACUUUCAGCAAAUAUUCAUAUUGUUACUUGUUCAUUUAUACUGCUUAGUUAUUUACUAUUUCCGCCUCUUGUGGAUCUAGUGACGUGAAUUGUCGGCGUUGUCAACCAUACCCCCCGGGGUCUAUUGACUAUAGUGUAUAUCCUCUUUAUUAAUAUUUUAUUACAAAGCCUUCAGCACUAGUGACUGAUCGAGAUAAGGGUAUUGUGGAUAGUUAGCAUCUUCUAUCCUUUUUGUGUGUGCAGUUAGACUGCCUAUCGGCGUAUGUAAUAGCCUUUACAUUGUUUUGAGAUUUAGAGUGGCCGAAGAUGUUGUACUAGUUUGAGCAUUGGUGUGGUGAUGAUUGGAUAUCUACAGUGUUGUUAUAGUAUAUAGUUUUUAUUCUACUUUGAUACCUAUUGUUGUUAGAUUUCAGUAAAAUUUUUUAGACUGAUUUUGUUGAUACUUUGUGUGUAUAAGUUGUAUCCUUAUGCAUACGGUGGCAAGUCUAUUGACGUAAUCCGAGCUUCCGCUGUAAUCCGGGAUGUGACAAUAUUCUAGAUACAUUAAAUACUUUAUAUUAUUUUAAGAGUAUGGAUUAUCAAUUGGAGGCUCUAUAAUUAAAAAUAACUUAUAAAUACAAAGAUCAUUUUACUUACAACUGUACACUAGCAUUACUCUCUCACACCAUAUUUUUGGACUAACUUAAUUUUUCUUAAGGAAAGGUAAGGUGUGGUUUUGAUUGGUACUGUAGAUAUUAUUUUUUAAUAUAAUUUCUACAAAAAUAGUCUAGAAGUGAAUAAUUGAUUGAUUGAAACCAUAUAUAUAGAAACUUUAUAUUGGAAUUAACUUUUCUUUGCAUUUAAUUUUUUUUUUUUUUAAAAAAAGAAGCUAUCAUUCAUUAUGCCACAAGAGUGACUUUGCAAGCUAAGUAAUUAGGAUAAAAAAUAAAUAAAUUAAUAAAAUUCUAGCGAAAUAUCAAAUUAUAUAAAAUAUUGUUAUAAAAGAAUUAAAAAGCUGGCAACAAGUGGCAAAGGGCUUGGUGCAUGGUUGGUACCUGAGGUUCCAAAUUCGAAUAAUAGAUGAUUCAUAUAUUUAGCUAAGUUUAUUUCUUAAUGAAAUAAACGAAACAGAUAGCGUACGUGCUACCUAUAUCUCAAAAAAAAAAAAAAAAANAAAAAAAAAAAAAAAAAGAAGUCGGCUACAAAAUUUAUUUGGAACAAGUUGCUUUAAAGCCUACUAUACUAUUCAGUAAGCUAAUGGAAUCUACUAAUAAAUCACAACACUCUCAAAUAAUUUUAUUCACUGUCCCGACUUUUGAUGCAUUUUUUUAUUCAAACCAUUUUCAUUAAUUAAAUUAAAAAUUUUAAGAAAUAUAACAGUUAAACUCUAUUUAAGCAUAACUAUAUAUAUAUAUCUAAACAUUUUUCUCGACUGAGUGUAAAUUUUGCCAAUUAUUAUCAGCGAUCACCCAUUUGGCCAUAUUGAUCAGAUUCAACUCGCUACGUGACGGCAGAUUACCGACCGCCAAAUCAAAAUUAAAAAGCUUAUUAUUUUAAGAUCUAUUGAUUGGGACUCGGUCCAACCAACCUGUAUGCAUUAAUUCGUGAUUUAGGUUGAUUCGAUCGAUGACAAGCAGUGUCGUGUCGUGUCGUGUCGUGUCGUGUCAAGUCAAAUUGGUUUUAGUGUCUCUAUUUAUAAUAUGAUCAUAGCGGCAAUAUAUUCUUUCUAGAGACUAAUUAACCUUUCAAAUUUUUUACUUGUGAGUGGGACUAACCUUUCAAAUUUUUGUCCAAGUUGUUGCGUGUAAGAAUCAUGAAAGAAAUCUAGUAAUUUGUUCUUAAUUUCUUUGCUUACUACAAUUUCCAUGUUCAAAUACUAUUUGGUAUGUAAAUAUGUAAAUAUUUGUUUGGUGAAAAUGUAUGGAAACCCCCUCAAUUAUAUAUAGGCUAAAUUAUAGAAAACCCCCCUAUCAAUACCCGCUUUUUCACUUUUUCCCUCUGUCUUUUAAAAACCUAUACUUUGCUUUUUUGUAAAAAAAAAAAUAUUCACUUUACUCCCUAUCGUUAGCGUUCCGUUAGAAUUCCGUUUAUAAAAUAUUAUUAUAUAUUUUUUUAUAUCAAAAUAAUACCCUCAGUCUCCUCCUCAAUAUUGCUGCCUGUUGAGGGGCAAAUUGGUUAUUUUGUCAUUAUAGUUAACACCGCAGCCCCUUGUGAACAUUUUUCAUUUUACAAGGGUCAAAGUGUAGGUUUUUAAAUGACAGGGGGGAAUGUAUUGACAUGGAGAUUUUAGGUAAUUUAGCCUUAUAUAUAUAUAUAUAUAUAUAUAUAUGCUGUUUUUAUAUCCGUUCCUCUUCUUUUCUUUUUUUGUUGUUGACACUUUUUUCGGUUUUUAUUUUUUUUGUUUGAUAUCUUCUAGUUAAAGUUGAGAAUUUUGCUAAAUUUAGUACAUCUAAUAAUUAUUAACCACUAACUAUUUCAAAUUUAUUAGCUAAAAAUAAUUAGAUUUCAUGAAAUUAAUUGUCAUUGGGUUUUUGAUAAAAUUUUAAAUUUUAUUUACUAAAAUCACACUGCUUUAAAACUCAAAAAGUUAAGAAGAUCGCUACUAGUUUCAAAAAAUAUCCUAAUUCUUUUCCAAUUAAAUUUACCAAUAUAUAUUUAAUUUACAUCAUUAAUCAAACAUGUUAUUAAUUAAUUAACUUGUCCCUAAAAAUGAUACCCAAAAAAAAAAAAGGUAGUUUAUCUCUUACAAUUGGAUAAGAAAAAAAAUCAUCCACAGCAAAUUAUUCCCAAGAAACUAUAAUGCCAGCAUCUCUCUUUAUAUUGUCUCAUUCCUGCAGCUUAAUUUGCAUUCUUAAUGAAUGAAACGGAUAAAGUGCUACAUCUUUCCAAAAAAAAAAUAAUCGCAUCUUAAUAAUUAAUUCUAAUUAUUCUGAUUAUAGUUUGUAUUUUGAGGUUAGUUCAACAUCAAAUAAUUCUUUAAAAAUUUUGAGUAUAGCUAGGCACCCAACUGUUUGCAAUUAUUUUUGGCGCUCUCUUGACUUUUAAAAUUUUCUUAUUUAAGUUCUUUGGCCUUUUUAGUCUUCGAGGCCCAUCUAAUACUAGUAGGAAAAACAAAAGUUAGCACGAAACAUAUAGAAAUAUACUUCUUUAUUUUUCAGCAAUACUGUAGAAAAUAAAUUGUAAUUGACUUAUGGAACAUGUAGAAAUUAAGUUAUAUCACAUGUGACAACAAAUAUGAUUUUUUUUUUAUCGUAUUUUUCAACUGCAGCAGAUCGAUACCAUAAUCUCCCACAAUCCUAAACGAAGCCGUAGUUUAAUAUUGAACAAUAAUUUUCCAAAACUUGGUAAUUCUAAUUACUGUUUAGAGAAGGCGUUAGCCCUGCAACCUAAAUGGAGUUGCAAUCCAAGAGGAUAUAGGUGGUCAAAUUUAACUUAGGUGGAGACUUUUGGAGGUCAAAUCUUUGGUAUAUAUACGUACUCCGAUUGAGACAAUGAUUUUGUGUGCAGAUCGAGAAGUGUUCGUCAAACUCUAGCAACUAAAUUUAGUACGCGCUACUACUAAGUUCAAUAAUUUAUGCCAUUUUUGGUAUGAGUUUCGUAACAUUUUGAGGUCAUUUAAGCCUCGAUCGUAUAUUAUAGUCAAAAUUUGACUUUUUAUUUAUAUAAAAUUUGAUGUGAAAAUCUUUGUAUCGUUGUAGUAAAAUUUGAUGCACGUACGUACUCACUAUUUUGUGUCCAAAUAUGAUGUUAGUGAACCGACGUCUUUCCACGGAACGAAAAAAGGGAUCCCGAUCGAGUACCAUUUUGAUUCUCGCGCGGUAUGAUUCUGGAUUCUGUUUCAUGGCAAUCGAAUAGAAUUUUGUGCUUUUAUAAAUAAAUUCUUUGAAGUCUUUUUAAUUAAAAUGUUAAUAAAUAUUUAAUUUGAGCUAGUUUCUCUUAUCUCUUCGGUUCUCCAACAAUAUUCUAUUUCCAAACGAUUGAUUUCUAUGGAACAUCACGGAUCAAGUUGUUAUCUUAGCAAGUUGAUAUAUAAAACUUGCCUUAAUUAUUGUCUAUUUCGGUUUUGGCUACUUAACCUUUUAGGGCGCGUUUGGUUCGCAUUAUGAAAGAUUACUAAAAGUAAAAAGAUAUUCGCGAAUCUUAUUUCUAUUCAUCCUAUUACUAAGAAUGUAGUAUUUCGGUGUUUGGUUCGUACGGUCAUAUUAUUUAGUCAUGUUAUUUAAAAUUACGAAAAAUAUAAAAUUAAAUUAAUUAAUUAAUUAAUUAAUUUAAUUUUAAAUAAUACUAUAAAAAAUUUCAAUAUUUUUUUAGAAAAAAAAAAGAGAAAGAAUAUAGAUUAAAAAGAGAGAGCAUAUUUGAAGAAAUAUGAAGAAAAAUAGAGUCGAUGUUAGAGAGAAUGAAAGGGUUGCGAUUUUAAAAAAAUAGGGGAAAAAAUAGCUUAAUUUAAAGAGAGAAAAAGAGUUGAAGUAAAGAGAGAAAAAGAUAAGUUUAGAGAGAGAUAUGAGGUUAGAGUGUAAAGAAAAAUAAUACCAACUAGUCGGCGGGUAGGGAAGAAAAAAAAAAAAAAACAGACAUAUUAUAAUUACUCCAAUCCAUUAAUAUAAGGAUACCCACCCUCUCACAAAAGAAUAAGAUUAAUACUUUGGGAUGCAUCUCAUUCUCAAGUAAAUCUAGUAUUACUAACUAGAUUACUUAGUGCGUUUAGCCAAAUAACGUCAUAUUUUUUUAUUCCAAUUGGAUUAUUAGGAAUCUUUAAAAGAUAACGCGAAUCAAACGCACCCUUAAGUCUUUUAAUUUUGCUAUCUAUUUUUUAAUUUAUUUGAUUAAUUUGUGCGAAUUAAUAACUCUUUAAUUUCAAAAUUGGAAGGAAAGGAAUGAGGUGAUCUUUGAGGGGAAGAAUUUCUCAAUCACUAUAGUCAUUUCAAGGGCACACAGCUGGACGGCCUUAUACUCCAACAAGAACAUAAUAAGAAUCAGCAUACAGAACCCAACUCUGAUUCAAGAACUCGCGAUCUCUUCCUUUUAUGUGUGAGUAGAUGGGAGUUGGAAAGGCGGUACUGAAGGUGGUGUAGGAUGUAUGAUUACUAAUCAACAUAGCACCAUCGCAUGCAUAUCUCACGUAAUAAAGUGGUCCACGAUGCCUGCUCGGCGGAAAUUGGAGCAAUUAUCCGAGUGACAAAGCUUCAUUUGCAAAUGUAUCUUGAAAAACCUUUUCAUAUCUUCUCAAAUUCAGCAUCCAUCAUCAAAGCUUUGCACCUUGUGAGUUAUCACUCAAAUUCGCUAACACCUGAAGCUCGGACAAGAAUCAAGGAGCUAUGGACUUUUACUGAGAGAUAUAAUUACUUCAGCUUCGGAUGGAAUUGGAGAUUUUCUAAAAAUGUUAUAGUUGCGGAUCGCUUAGCAACUUGGAGACUCGCACACAAAAAGCUUUCUUUUCGGUCUUCUAUUGAUAAAUUUUCUCAGUCUAUAUCCACUGAUUAAUUAAAUAAAAUUAUCUCCGGACAUGUUUUUCCUCAAAGAAAAAAAAAAAAAACAUUAUUUUUUAUUGGUCUUAUCAUUCUUCUGAUUUUAAAAUUACUAAAGUCAAAAAAGUGUCUUUUUAAAUCCUACGAAAUAUCAUUACAACCCUAUGUGAUCGAACGUCAUAUUUUACAAUUAAUCAACCCUCUUUGGGUUGUAGAUCUAGCAUUAAUUCUCGCUAGCAAAUAAAAGUACAAUAAUUAACAGCUAAUAAGUGAUGGAGCUGUAUCUUCAAUUCAACUAAUUAAUUAAGGCAUUGUUUGGCAUCAUUCCUAUUACUCAAACAAAAAAAAAAAAAAAAAAAUUGAUAUAUACUAAAUGGUCGAGAAUUAGUAGGUGAACCAUGUCACUUCCAUCAACUAGAGAGAAAAUAUGGAAGAGACAGCGAAAUAAUUAAUAUUUAAAUCUACACCAUUAAAAAGCUGGACACAAUAAUCAACUUUAGGACCUUUUAGAACGGAAAAGUCUGAUACCAUGUUAUUCAAAAGAUUAAUUCAGUAAGAAAUAAUUCAAGAUUAGUUUUAUCGGUCCCUAUUUUUCAAGCAUAAAUCAGAUGAAUUAGAUAUCUCAACAAACAAACGGACUAUUCCUCUUGUUAUGGUGUUGAUUAACUUGCAAUGCAUUUCAAUCUAAUAACACGUGACAACUUAUUUUUGCUUUAAAAAAAAUCAAAUAUGUAAAAGAAAAAUACUUUCAUAUUUUUAAUCUUAGUUCCUAAAUAAAUAUCUCGUAUGUAAAAAAUACAAGCAAUCCAUCACUCAUCCUAAAACUUUUUUAUAUAUAUUGGCGAUUUUAUUGUUCACCGCAAAGUUGAGACAUUGUCGGGUGAGGAUCAAAGAAUGGUGCACUAAUGUGUUCUACAGCAUUAGAAAAGCUAAGACGAUACUGAUGGACGAAAUACAGAGAAUAGACAAAGCAGAAGAAGCGAAUAAUCUGGAGCCUGAGUAUAGAAAUAAGAGAGCGGCGCUAAAGGAUGAGUUGACGAGGGUUUUGAGUGACGAGACCUCUCUAUGGAAAACUCGGGCCAAACAACAUUGGCUUCGUGAGGGGGACGGUAACACUAAAUUCUUUCACUCAGUCGCAAAUGGCAGGCGUAGAGCUAACUGGAUCGGCACGAUGGAAGAAAAUGGUAUCAGCUACCAAUCUGAAGAGGAUAAGCGAUACUACUUCUACCGUUCCUUUAAGUCAAUCUUCACUCCCGACCCGUCAAAUCCGACUUCCUUUGGGGACUGGACCAGGCUAUUCAUAUCCGACCGAGUAGUAGAUACCAAUCUCUCGAGGUUGACCGAGCCGUUUAACUUACAAGAAAUCAAGGAAGCAGUGUUCCAGUUGGGGGGUGACAAGGCACUAGGACCGGAUGGCUUUCCACUUAACUUCUACCAAACGUUCUGGGACACGGUCAAGGAGGAUUUAUUGAGCGUUUUUAAAGAACUGCACGAGGGGAGACAUUCCUCCGCCGCUAUCGAUUAUACCUUCAUUCCUCUUAUUCCUAAGAAGGAGGGGGCCACCCGGGCUAAUGAUUUUCGACCUAUAAGUCUGUUGAACGGGAUUCAAAAAAUAAUAUCUAAGGUCUUGGCCAACAGAUUGGAGCAAGUCAUGAAGGGCUUGAUAUCCCCGACCCCAAUCUGCCUUCUUGAAAGGCAGGAACAUUACCGAUGCAUUUGCCUCUGUUUCCGAGCUUGUUAGUUAGGGGUUUAAAAAGGCGGUUGACGGCGUGGGAGUUAAGGUGGACUUUGAGAAGGCCUAUGAUAGGAUUUUGUGGCCAUUCCUUUUCCAAAUAUUACGAUGGUGGGGAUUCAAUGAUACAUGGUGCGGUUGGAUAGAAACAUAUGUGUGUGACGCAAAAGUGGCGAUCCUUGUGAACGGCGAACCGACCAACUGGAUUAAGAUGAGGAGAGGUGUAAGACAGGGGGACCCACUCUCGCCAUUCCUUUUUCUUUUGGUGGCGGAAUGUUUGGCACGAAUGACCAAAGAGGCAACCACUAACAAUUUCAUCAAAGGAAUUGGUCAGUCUGGGGCUUGUAAGGUCACUCUUAUCCAGUUUGCGGACGAUACCUUUUUCUUCUGCACGGCUAGAAACAGGUUCAUGAAAACCCUGAGGUUUCUAUGGAGGCUUUUCGAAUGGGCAUCCGGUAUGAAGAUCAAUAGGGAGAAGUCGGAGCUCUACUACCUGGGGCAGGAGGAAGGCAAAGGAACGAGGUUAGCUAAUACUCUUGGGUGUAGAGUCGGCACCCUCCCGGCCUUAUAUUUGGGCUUACCUCUCUCCCCUAAACCACCUUCCAAGGAAGUGUGGACGGAAUCAUUCAGAAGAUUCAGCGUAAAAUUGAGGGCUGGCAAGCUAAACUUCUUUCUAGGGGAGGGAGACUCAUCCUGGUUAAUGCAGUGUUAACCAGCAUACCCCUAUAUUAUUUAUCUGUGUUCAAGGCACCCGCUUGGGUGAUUAAGCAAAUUGAAGCCAUUAGAAGAGAUUUUUUCUGGUGCGGUAGUCGUAACAAUGUUGGCAUGGGAUGUUUGGUGGCUUGGAAAAACGUCUGCAGGUCCAAGAAAGAAGGUGGGUUAGGGAUCUUGGACGCGGAGAUCAUGAAUCAGGCCCUUCUGACUAAGUGGUGGUGGAAAUUCCACACUGAACCUGAACUACUGUGGAAUAAGCUAACACGUGAUUUGUACUAUCGCAGAAGGAUACCCCUCAGGGAAGGUACAUCCUUUAGGCCAUUCUCCAGCUGGUGGAAAGGUUGCCUUUCGGUAUCUACCAUCUUUAAAUGGGGGACGGCAUUCUCGCUUGGUAACGGGAGUAGCAUCGAUUUCUGGCAGGAUCGGUGGUGUAGAGAGAAAACGUUGAACCGGACGUUCCCGGAAGCUUACCAAGGGUCGGUAGGGAAAAAUCUUAGAGUAAGCGAAUGCCUUACAGGGGGAAAUUGGAACUGGUCCAAGAUCCUGGGAAUCGAGGUGGGACAAGCUCUUGGGAGGGUACCAGGCAUCUCGGAAUUAAUGCAAACGAUAUCUAGCUUCUCCGUCGAGCAGGGAUCAGAUAGGUUACUUUGGAGAUAGAACCCCGAUGGCAAAUUCUCGGUCAAAUCCACCUAUUCGGCUUUGUUGGAUGGCGGUACGAGAGAUGAACAAGCCACAUGUAUUUGGAGUCUUACAAUCCCGCUGAAAGUUAAAGUUUUCGUGUGGCUGCUUCUCAAGAAAAGAAUCCUCACAAGAGAUAGGCUUGUCAAGCGAGGGUGGAUUCAGGAUCCAACCUGUGUGCUUUGUGGGGUGAAGGUUGAAUCAACGGAUCAUCUAUUCACCAGGUGUGUAUUUGGUAAGUUUGUAUUGGUGACAGGGGUGGAAGACAUCCAAGCUCUUGACCUGGGGGUCGAUGUGAACCUAGUUUGGGACAGGUGGAGGGAGAAAAACGCACAUCUGAACAAGCGCUCCGGUCUCAUUGACCUAGUAGGGUGUUGGUGGAUUAUCUGGAAGACCAGGAACGAUACGAUCUUUCGGAAUAUCUGGCCUAACCCAGGGGUAGCGGUAAACAGUCUCAAGAAACUGCUGAAGGAGUGGGAACCGCUGCUCGGAUCAAUUUAGUACUUUUGUACCCUUUUUUUUUUUUUUAACCUUGCCUUGACCAUUCCGCGGGGCCUAGUUGCCCCACACUUGUAGCUUAACUCUCCUAUGCAUUUAUAGAAAGAUAUAUUAGAAUUAGGUUACUAUACUAUCUAUAAUACCGGAGGUUCGGUAUUAUAGUCUCGUUUUCAAUUUUAGAAUACUUUAAAUCAACUAUCCAUACUAUUAAAUAUGAUUUAGGGUAUAUGAAGUUCUUAGAAAUAAAAUUUUUGUAUUUUUCGACGUCGUUUACUUAGUAAGUAAAUCGUGUCAAAAUGAACGGUUGAAAUUGAAAUCUUUAAAAUUUGAGAAUAGAACUUUUAAAUUCAAGAUCAAGAAUCCUGACCUUGAUCUAGAUGUUUAAAUUAUGUUCUAUCAAUAUUUGAAUAAAUUUAAAUUUUUCUACACCGUUGAACUAUAAACUCGUCAUUGAAAAUUAACAAUUUUGAAAUGAUUUGAAGUUAAUUACACAAAUAUAUACAAAACAUGCGAUCAGAAAAUCUGCCGAAAAUUAUGUCUUGUAAUCAAGCUAGCAUUACUUGUAUUUUAUUAAGAACAGAUAAGAAAUUGUUCAGUUAGUAACUUUACUUGCGGAGAGAAACUUAUUAAACGUACAAUUUGAAAACGUUAAGAGGUCUAAUUGUUAUACUUAAAAAAAAUAAUAAUAAUAAUAAUAAUAAUUAAAGAUCUCUGUUUGCAAAUUAAAGUGAUAAAGUUAAGGGGUUAUUAUGCUUUUUUUCCCUACAUAUAUAUUUUUUCACCACCAAUUCUGUAGUGACAUUAUCAUCGGCAGUGACGUAUGACGCACCAACCAAAAUCAAAUCCAACUUAAAUUGACUACAUGCAUCUUCCGUGGCUACAUUGAAAACUAAUUUCUUUACUUUAUAUUGUUUUCUUCAGUGUAUAAUAAUAAAAAUAAUGGAAACAUGCCCACUCAUCCACCAUACUCACAUAUAGGGAUGGGAGCUAUUUAUGGUCGAAGCCCACAGAAUUUGAGGAGUUAAAAAUGGGUUGGAUCAUCUCUAGAUUAGUGGAGGGUCCAAAAGAUAAUCCGACCCGCAUUCGACCCGCAUACGUACAUUUGUUCUAGUCUAAUUAAGACUGAAUUCGAAUUUUAGGAUUUAUAGUUCGAGGAAGAAGAUACCAACCAUCUAAUCUAAUCAGUGAUCUGCUUCUUUGCCGACUGCUGUUGCAGUUGGUACUGGUUUAAUUGGGUUCAAUUGUAACUGCAAAAGUUAAACUAGAUCUGUGAUACAAUUCCAACUGUGAGGCCCCAGAUAGGCCUAUAUAUAAGAUAUAAUAGGGCUAAAACUUCUAAUCCGGCUUAAACAUUUUGGGUGGUGAUUAGGCCCAAGAGGUUAAGAGAGUUAAGCGUGCUAGGACGGGAGUAGCCAUAGGAUGGAUGACCCCUGGGAAGUUGGGGCGUCAUAGUUGGUAUCGGAGCCAAUUACAAGCCGGAAGUGUGAGAUGAGUCUCAGCUGAGUAGAGGUCGGAAUGACAAGACUAGCGAGAUAAGUCUCACAUCGCCUGAUACUCAUGAGUCUGAGCCUGACGAAAACGUCAAGUGUCACGCCCCGGAUUUCACGUUCCCCAGGCACGCCGACAGAUNCGUGACCCGGCGCGCGCCCAACGAGAGCCCAACCGAGGACAUGACCAUGCGCUAGGGCACAUGGCCAUGUGGUCCCAUCCACUCCCCCGUAAACUCAUUUAAAAGUGGAGCAAACAUAGUUGUCGAGAGAGAGAGAAAUAUCGAAGCACAUCUCUCUCUCUCCCCCGAAGGACAACGAGAAGUGAUAGAGAGAGAGAGAGAGAGCCGAUUUCCAUCCCUUCUUCGGCCAACCCCUAAAGCAGCGGCUGCAGCGCGGCGCUUGGCAAGCUCGCGUGAACGACGGCCUCGAAACGCUCCUCCGGCCCGCUCCCUCGCAGAAGUGACAAGAACUGCAGCGCGGCUCCAAGCUGCGACAGCUCCACCCACUAAGCCGCAGAAAAGACCUAAAACCCGUUCAUAAUGAUAAAAGAUGAGCCAAACAUCGACAAAACGACUUUAGGUGGCAGCUGACAAGCAUAAAGUCGAGCAAGAGGCGCAUCCUCACAGCCUAGUGCUGCUUUGAACCAAGUAACCUAAGAUCUGACGCUCUCCAAAGGUGUCUCGGGAGUGAACGUUAAAAACCACUUCCAAUCGAGCCAGCUUAGGGCAAAGAUGAGUCGACGACAUUAAAAGACCUGACUUAACUCCUAAGAAUUAACAAAUCGAACCUUAAUCGAGCUAACGCUCUUAGCCUGCAAAAGUCAGUUGGGUCGUCCACCACAGCGUCGACUCCCCUCAUAAGGCGACGGACCCUAAUCGCACGCUCCACCCAAUGUAGCCAAAACUGAGGAUUCAAGAUUAGCAGCUGUACAUAUUUACAACUAACAACGAUAUCGGAAAAGAUCGAGCUUAAGCACCUAAAUUAAUAACAACCAUUAAGACUUAAACCUCGUACCGUAUAAAUUUAAUUUAUCAAAGAUGUACAACCUGAACCUUUAACUUAAUCCUCUUUUGAACGCUAAACCUGGACAGUGGUCAAAAUUGAUGGACUAAAUCGAGAUCCUCGGCAGUCUUUUAACAUGACAGCGUCAAAGAAGCUCUGCUCAUGAGGUCCAUCAAAUCUUACAUAAAUGUGAGCACGACCAAGCGGCUCACCUAAAAAUGUCCCAGCAAGUCCAACAAGGCCUGACAACCCAUGGCAGUCUCAACUGCCACCUGGGCAUAGCGGAAAAACCGCAGUCUAACACGGCUCCCGUGCAAUGGACAACCAACAAUCUGGUCAAACUCAGCUAAUGAACUGAAACCGAUCAACCUCGGACAAACUCGAGCUGUCUCUAUGCGACGUAUGAGCCAACCCAUCGCGGGUGCUCACGGUGAGGCCUCAGUCCGAACGCGAAAACGCAACCACAGCGAGUACGGUCAACCUGAACGAGAGGUGCCUGGUCAAUCUUACCUAUCUCGGACUAUCAGCGUUGCCCCGUCCCUGCCCACAUAAGAGUGUACCGGUACACCUUAAUGGCUGUACCGGUACAGCAAGCGGAAAAACUGCUAUUUGCAGAUUUUCUUCGCUGAAAGCUGCCCUCGCGUCGCACGGAGUCCGUUUUGCGUCUAUUUGGCGCCAACGCGACUCAGACCUGUCCCGACACUCUACAGAGCUGUCGACAAGCCUCCAGAGCUGAACACCAGGGAUCUCACAUCAGGGAUUAAAGUGGGAGAGAUUGUAAAACCCCAAAUAGUCCUAUAUAUAUAUAAUAUAUAAUAGAGUUAGAACUCUUAACUCGAUUUAAGUAUUUUGGACGGUGGCUAAGCCCAAAAAGUUUAAAGAGUUAAACGUGUUAGGACGGGAGUAGUUUUAGAAUGAAUGACCCCUGAGAAGUUGGGGCGUCGCACCAACUCAAUCGACUUCAAAUAUAACGAUCUAAACAUUGUGUUUGAAUUUCGCAAUUGUAAAAUAGUGGCAAUCACGUGCAACCAAUAAAUCAAACCUUUCAUAUAUAGCGGUGUGAUAAAUCCAACAACACGUUAUAUGAUCACAACUUAGUUGUUGAAAAUUUUAAGUUUGAUUAAAGAUUUGUUCAACUAGUUAAAAUAAUUUAUUUGUACUUUAGACUUGCGAUUGUGCUUUUAUGCUCUCUUUUUUUUUCUUUUCUUUUUUUUUUUUCUCCAAAUGCAUACCAUUAUGUAAACAAAAGUGUACUCUUGUAAUGGCAUAUUAAGGAAAAGAAAAGGAAAAAAAAGCAAAUACAUUAUAUGCAUUUGUGGACUUGGUCUUAAAGUUUCAAUGUGAAUGGGGAACAAUUAGAUGAUCCCUACUAAAGUCACAAAUUACUCUUCAAUGGAACAUUAUCAACAAUUUAUUAAUGACUAAAAUUGGACCUUUACCUAAUUCAAAAAGGCACUAUAAACACUCAUGUUUGAAAUUGUUGACAUGUUCUAUUAUUGUUAAUUUCUCCUUUGAAAUUAUUGUGUUGACACUAAAGAAAAAGAAAAAAAGAAAGAAAAAGAAAGGGUCAAAAUCACAAGGACCUAAAUGAUAGCUGUAAUUGGAUAUACUGCCAAAAUUUUGAACAGAUAAGCUAAUUUAAUUUUGAAUUUUUUUAAUAAAAUUUUGAUUAUUUUUGCAACAAAUUAAAGCUAAUUAAUAGGCCAAAGUAUCAUUAGAAAAAACAAAUCUUUUUAUUAUCUUAACACAAGAAAGUUACUACUACUACUAGCUACUUCAUUGCUGCUUAAUUUUGAUUUGUGAGGAUAAAUAGUGAAUUAAUAACAAAAUCAUUUUUGUAAAUGUAUGCAAUCAUUAGGGGCUGAGUUACAAAUAAAUAAAUAAAUAAAUAAAUAAACAAAUAAACAAAGUCAAGAAAAGUAAGUAAUGCCAGCUGAGGUUGAAUGAUUGGCAACAGUCAGCAGUCUUUUUUUUGUGAACAUCUUUAUAUUCAGUCCUCAUUUGACUGGGCUUUUAUUUUAUUUUUUUUUUUUAGUCCUAGUCAAUUUUUUAAAACAUUUUUUUAAUUAAAAAAAAAUCCAAACCUUCUGGUGCUAUGUUUAUUUUGGAAAAUUCCAAUUUAGUCUAAUUGUUUACAUUUCUGGCUAAAUAUAUUUUUUUAAAAAAAAUAAACAGGCAGAAAACGUACUAUUUUUUUUCAAAAAAUAAAUUUUUAAUUAAAAAAAAUUUAUAAGUCAAGUGAAAAAGUUCUAGCAGAGUAUAAAUUUUACAUCUUAUAUCAUUGGUGUACAGAUAGCAUUGCACUUGUUUUUAACCGUUAGAAUAAUAAUUUAUAAUAUUUCUUUUAACAGUAGGCUAAAUUACGGAAAACUCUCUUACAAAUGCCUAUUAUUUACUUUCCCUCUCUAACUUUCAAAAAUUUAUAUUUUACCCACUCAAUAUUUUUAAAUUGUUGCAUUUGGUCCCUCUCCAUUAGUGUUCUAUCACUAUUCCGUCUAUUUCUUAUAAGUUAUAUCGAAAAUAUCUUUCAAAAUAACAAAAAUAUAUUAAAAAAUAUUUUUUUUAUAUAAAAGAAGUAAGAGCAAUUUAGUCAUUUUGCUCUCUCCAUUAAUACCGUAUCCCUCUGAAAACAUUUCUGAAAUUUUAAGACGGCAGAAUAUAAAUUUUUAAAAAUUAAAAAAAAAGUAAAAAAAUAAGUAUUUACAAAAAUAUUUUCUGUAAUUUAACCUUAACAAUACUAUUCAAAUAAAAUUUUAUUAAAUAGUGUUAUACAAUACGGGCUUGUUUUACAGGCAAAAGAAUAGACCGUAAAUCAGCUAUAGACUUGUUUGUCUCACUGAAAGUUGACAAAGAUGAAGUGAUUUUUAAUCGUGAAUAUCAUUUCAGUCGUUUGACGCAUCAUAAAUUAAGUUCGAUCUUAACUCAAUUUCUUUUGAAGCAAGAUAAUAUAUUUUGCUCCGACUGGUUGUUUAGUCCAUUAUGGGACCAAUAAAAAAAAUUAAUUGAUGUAACUUUUUUCAUUCUCUUAUGAGCAUAUGCUAGUAGAGAAUUUUGGGUAAAAAUAAAACAAAGAAUAUAGAGAAAUUUAGCUUUCAUGUCAGUAACUUACUGCUAAAUAAAUAAUAUAACUAAAAUAAAAAUUAGUUUAAGAGUCAUUAACUUUUUGUCAAAAAAUAUCGAAAAAUGAUUUUCAUGUCGACUUUAGUGUCUUUAAUUGGCAUGUUUGGAUCUUCAAAAGUGGCUAAAGUAAAAAAAGUGACGUUUAUAAAAAUAAUUUUUUUAGUUGGAUUGUUUGGAUGACUGUAGAGAGAAAAAUAGAAAAUUAUAGUUUUAUAGUUUCUGUUAUUUGAUUAUAUUUAUAUAAGCGAAAAUAUAGAAAAUAAACAACUUACACUCAUAAUUUACAUUAAAAAUUUAAGUUUAAAUUUAUAUUUAGAAUUCAAGAUUAAAUUUUAAAAUUUAAAUUUAAACUUAAGUCUGAGUUGAAUUUAUAGUUAAAAUUUAAGACAUGCAAUUAAAUUUAUAAUUUGAAUUUUAAGUUUAAGUUACAAUUCAAAGCUGUAAUUAAAUUUUAAAAUCAAAUUUCAACAUAAAAAUUAAAACAUUAAUUCACAUUUUGACUUCAAAUUUCAACUUGAAUUCAAAUUGAACAUUUGAAUUCAUAAUUCAAAUUCAAAGUUCAAACUGAAACUCAUUGUGAAAUUAAAUUCAAAAUGCAAACUUAAAUUCGACUUCAAAUUUCAACUUAAGAAUUUAAAUUUUGAAUUUAAGUUUCAAUCAAUAAUUUAAAUUUAUAGUUUGGAACAAUUUGAAUUCAAAGUUCAAGUUGAAUUUCCUUUCUAAAAAUAAUUUUAUUAAAAUUUAAAUUUAAAAUUUAAAUUUGGAAUUCAUAUUUAAAUUUAAAGAUUUAAUAUGUAAUAUAAAUUCACAAAUCUAAAUUAAGAAAUUUUGUGUCGAAUUUAAAAUUACAAAUAAAAUUCAGAAUGUAAAAUUAAAUUCUUUGAUUUCAAUUCAAAUUGAAUGUAAAACUCUGUUUUAAAAAUAAAAUUCAAAGAUCAAAGCUAAAACCAAUAAGCUAUCCAUUUUCUGUGACUUUGAAAUUUUUCGAAAAAAAGAAAAAUAGAUUAAAUUACAACCUAUUUUAACAAUCCAUUUUUAUAAAUAAUUUUUAAAUUUCGUUUUACAAAUUAAACAAUUAAUAAGACGUUAUUGUUUGAAAAUGUUACUUUUGGUGCUUUGCUUUGGAUUAACUAGGGCUUAUUUUGGUAUUGAGAUCUAUCUAACGUUAUUAGAUAAAAUGGAGUUAAGAAAAAAGCAUAUAGGGAUACGCUCUGCGUUCUCCGGUGGGACCGUAGAAAAUAUGUCGUAACCGUCUCAUCGCGAUAUGCGGAACGCAAUAUUGCAUAUAUUUUCUCACCGCACGUAACGCAAUCUCCCCGCAAUUCCAAACGAAAUCUAAUUAUGCUCUAACAAGAAGGCCAUUAGCGGAUUUGUUUGUUUUAAAAUCCGACCCGAAACCAGAACCUCAAAAAUCGGGCCGGUUGGUGGUUGGGCAGCCGCUAGGGGCCCACACAGUCCAUUUUUGAUUUUAAAUUUUAUUUUAUUUUGUAUUUUAGGAAAAAAAAAAAGUUAUUUUUUAAAUGGGACCCUCUAUUUUUAACUUUUUGACCGCAGAUCCCUUAUUAGUUUCCGAUCUUUUGAAAUUAAGUGAUUUUAAUCUUGGAAAUUUUUUCAUCCAAAUUUAUCGAUAAUUUUGUCAAUUUAAAAUUUUAAUUAACAAAAAUAAAAUAAUUAAUAUAUAACGGCUAAUAAAAUUAACUAAAGUUGUAUCAAACGCCCACUUAUUUGACCAGAUAAAGUUAGUUUUUUUAUUUCUUCCAAAUAACUAUUGUUUAGCAAAUAAAUAUUUUUUAUUCAUUUUUAACAUUAUGUGUUAUUUUAAUAUUUAUACUCUUAUUCUGUGUCCUUCUACGUAAACUAUUAUUAUUAUUAAUUAUUUAAAAAUAAUUUAAAAUUUUUUAAUUUAAAAGCAAUUUUGUUAAAACGGUGGAAAUUUAACCGUCAAUUAAUAAAUAUAGUCAAUAUGUACGGAUAUUGCUUUAGAAAAAAGUAUAUUUGAUAACUUAUGUUUUGUAUCGUAUAGUACAGGGAGAUAUAUGAAAUUAAUCAAUUUUUAAAUUUAUUUUAGUUAUUUUUACCCCUUUUAUAUAUAUAUAUAUAUAUAUAUAUAUAUAUAUAUAUAUAUAUAUAUAUAUAUAUAUANAAUUUAAUAUAGUCAACAUCUACGGAUUCAGUCUUAGGAAAAAAAAAAAAAACUUUUUAGAAAUAAGGGUCAAAUGCAUACAGGUCCCUACAAAUAUAACGAAUUGCAAAUAUAUCCUUGUAAAGUUCAACUUUUAUAAAUUAUUUUUGCAAAAGUACUAAUAUUUUCAUAUAUAUCCCUACCGUUAGAAUCCGUUAGAAAAGUUUAGUUUACUAUAGGUUAAAUAUUUUACUCGGAUUAAUUUUUGACAUUUCUACUCCUCUUAUAUUAUAGUGUUAUAAUUUUUGGAGGGACGUAUUUUUGAUGGCGAAAUUGAAAAUAUAAACAGUUUUCUAACGGUUCUCUAACGAUAACAAAGCAAAGGGAAAUAUCUAAAAACAUCAGGACUUUUGCAGGAAUAACUUGUGAAAGUUGAACUUUACAGGAAUUUAUUUGCAAUUCACUAUGUUUAUGGAAACUUGUAUGCAAUUAACCCUAGAAAGAAAUGCACAAUUUCAAGACUUUAUAGGGAUAUAUAUGAAAUUAUCCAUUUUUUUUUAUAUAUUUUAGUUAUUUUUACCCCUUCCGUUUUCUCCUCCGGGUACUCAUCUCUCUCUCUCUCUCUCUCUCUCUCUCUCUCUCUCUUGUCCAACACAUGUCGUGAGUUUCUCUAACACCUUGCUCUUUUUAACUUUUUUUUUUAAUUUUUUUUUAAAUUUUGUGUGUUUGCAACUCUUCAAUUCUAUGUUAUUUUGAUGGAGAUCCAACUAUUUGCUAAUUUAUUUUUUUUUAAAAAAAUUCCUGAGUAACAAUUGAUUUCUAUGCCCUAAAGAUUAUUGGAUUUAUUCCCAAUAGAAGGUAUGUUCGUUGGAUUUGAUCAGGGAGCUAGAAAUUUUGAAACUUUUAGAAAUUGAGCGAUCAAACAGGUCAAAUAUCAUGCUUCUCAAUUUUUUUAGGUGCAUAAAUUUGAUUGUGGUUGUGGGUUAUAUAAGAAUUUUUCUAAUUUUUUUGUUGAUCUAUUGGAUGGCCGUGUUUUCCAACACCAGUAGGAGAAUCAAUAACCAUGGUGGAGUAUAAUUAUGUUGAUAAAAAUGGAUCAGUGAUAAAUUAGUAUAUAUUUGGAGUUGUGGUAAUUUAUUGAUCUCAAAAGGAUUUUUUGGGUUUUUUUUUUUUUUUUGGAGAAAGGGAGAAAUUUUAGAGGUUCUGAUUUGAUUUUGUGGUGAUGUUUAAUCAUUUUAAGGGGGAUAAAGUUAACUUUUUUUUUUUUUCCUUGAAUUAAUGAAUUUGGGAGUUUGAAUGACUUGUUAAUAUGAGUGUAAUAGCAUGAGAAGGUCUACAAUAACUUAAAAACGUAGAGAUAUAUACGUGUGAAAAUUUCUUUUGUAAUUCGUUUAUGAUAACAAAAUCUUUACCAAAGCCUUUGGUUAUUCGUACACACCGUUUAAUGAUUGUGAAGAUUCGAAAUUUGAAACCAUGGAGACGUGAAUUAUCGGGAAAAUUCACCUUCUUUCAACUCUUCAUCUCCUAGUGCACAUCGCGCCAGUUAAGGAACUUGCUUCUUUUUUACAUUAGCUUUGGCAUGAAAAGUUUCAUUUAGAUCUUAUUUAUUUUUCACCGUCAAUCUUCUGUAAAGUGCUUGUGUUCCAUUCAGUGCAUGCAGCCCUUUUUUUUUUAAUGUGUAUUUUAAUGAAACAUAUAUUUUCUAUUCUCUUUUCCUUUUUUCCGCUGUAGUUCAUCUUAACCUAAUUAGAGAUCUCACAGUAUUUAAUUCGUCAUGGUCUGAGCUUUUCAAUAGAAUCUUAAGAAAUGGAGGCUCUAAAUUGAUGCAAUACCUAUAGAUAUGAUCCAGUACGAAGAAUGCGCUCUUUAACUCGUAGCAGUGAAGACCAUUGAAAUCUAAGCAUAACUAAGUUGUAAUCUGCAUAAAUUAAAGUCAAAAUAAAGAUAUAUGAAUGCAAUUAGCUGCAUUAGAAUAUAAUCCCAAAAAUAUAAUUUUGAUCGCAAAGCCUAUUCUUAGAAUUUAAGAAUGCUGGGUCUUAGUUCCCAUAAAAAAAAAAAAAAAUGUGGACCGACAUCAUAGUUAAGGAUAAAUUCUGAUGGCCGAUUAAAACUCUUAAAAAUGGUAAAAGCUAUACUUACUCUGCAGUAUAAGCAAAGAUAAAGCAAUGAAAGAAACAUUUUUUCAUUUGACCGUCUUUAAUGCCGUUAAAUAUUGUUUCAAUGAAGUAUCAAUAGCCAGAUAAUGCCUUCUACCAACUCACAACUGAUUCAUGCUAUUCUUACUCGUACCAAUUUUUAGACGCCUUGUUCUUGGAUUUAAUUAUAGAGUGGUAUGUACUUGUGCAUGUAUUUGUAGCUUUGUUGAUAGUAGUUGUACUUACAUUAUCUGAAAAUUCUUCAUCCUAAACUCAGGCAUAUUCAUAGGUGACAUUGGAGUGAGAUUCUUUUCCCUCUAUCUGAUGCUCUGUAGAUGCUGAUAUUUUUAUUUUUAAGCUAGUAAUUUAGUUACUUUCAGCAUCACUUUCUUAAUAUUAAUUAUAUUUCUCUCCUUUUGUUUUUUUUUUUUUUGGGUAGUUGUUCGUAAUCAGCAGAAUGGUUUAGAAACAGGAGACGUUGAAUAUACAAGUGUUGACGACUGACUACAUAACAGAGGUGGGACUUGAAUACAGAAAAUAUUGAAUCGCCUUGUAAUAUACAAUCAUGUCUUUAAUAAGCUCAGCAGAUCCUUCUGCAACUCCCUACGUUGAUUCCAAUUUCUACGCACGUAGAAACAACGGUGAUAGCUCGGGCUUUUCCAUGAAAGCAUUCAAUUCAGAUGAGCAAUUUUUCCAUUAUGGCCCUGACUUUUCUGGGAUUUACAGUCAAAAGUACUUCACUGGUUCUCCCACUGUAGCGAAUGUUAAUCCCCUCGUAUCCUCGCCUUCAAUUGAUGAAUCUCUGUUCCAUCCGAUGGCUAAUACCCAAUCUCCUGCUUAUUUGGAUCAUCCUGAUUCAUCUCUGAGUUCCGAUGUUUCUCAUCAGAGUUCGCAUUCCUUAUCGGAUCAUCAAAUUCUAGAGAACUCCAUAGACUUUCCGGAAGAAGAAAUGAGAAUAAAGCUCUAUGAACUCGAGCAGGUGUUGCUGAAUGAUAAUGAUGAAAUAGAAGAAGAACACUUGGUUAUUGAAGAUGAUUGGUCUGAGCCAAUUAAGAACCUCAUGCUCACAAACUCCCCAAAAGAAUCCUCGUCGGACUCAAGCCUGAGCUGUACGGGAGAAGCACGGACACCGAAGCAGCUCCUUUUCGACUGUGCAGCUGCUAUAGCAGAAAACAGAAUAGAAGAAGCGGAAAUCAUUAUAACGGAGCUUAGGCAAGCGGUCUCAAUACAAGGGGAGCCACAUCAAAGGCUUGCGGCUUAUUUGGUAGAAGCCCUUGCAGCGAGGAUAGCGUCUUCAGGACGAGGCAUUUACAAAGCACUUAAAUGCAAAGAACCUCAGGGCAAUGAUCGACUUGCGGCAAUGCAGGUUCUAUUCGAGGUGUGCCCAUGCUUUAAAUUUGGUUUCAUGGCGGCGAAUCACGCAAUCCUUGAAGCGAUUAAAGAUGAGGACAGGCUUCACAUCAUAGACUUUGAUAUUAACCAAGCAAGCCAGUACAUAACAUUGAUACAAAUGAUGCAAUCUCUCAUGGCUCAAAGGAAAAAGCCUUUUCGCAUGAGGAUAACUGGAGUGGACGAUUCCGAAUCGGUGCGGAGGGCGAUCGGAGGGCUGGGAAUUGUUGGUAAGCGGCUUGAGAAGUUAGCGGAGGAUUGUGGGGUUUUGUUUGAGUUUCGGGCAGUGGCAGCUAAGAUUGGGGACGUGACGCCUGAAAUGUUGGAUUGCCGGCGUGGCGAGGCCGUGGUCGUGAAUUUUGCCUUUCAGCUUCAUCACAUGCCGGAUGAGAGCGUGUCAACGGUGAAUGAGAGGGACCGGCUUCUGCGAAUGGUGAAGGGCCUCAGACCAAAACUUGUGACCAUGGUCGAGCAGGAUGCAAACACAAAUACUGCGCCAUUUUUACCAAGGUUUUGCUCUUUUACAGAAGCUUGUUCCAUUCUUUGGGUGAAUUACAUUUGUUCCACCCCAACUUUAUGCGAUUAUAGAUCAAUAUAUUGAAGUAUAAAGCAAAGAUGUUUUCAAAAAAAAAUGAUAUUGGUGAAUGACAGGUUUGCGGAGGUUUACAAUUAUUAUUCAGCCGUCUUCAACUCACUUGAUGCAACCCUUCCAAGGGAGAGCGCCGAUAGGAUAAAUGUGGAGAAGCAGUGCCUUGCGCGUGAGAUUGUGAACAUUGUGGCGUGCGAAGGCACUGAUCGUAUAGAGAGGUAAUUCUAGAUAGAUUGUUUACUAUUUCCCUUCUCCAAAAAGUCAAUUUUGAUAAAUCAUAUGACUCUUUUCUUUCGAAAGAUAUGAAGCUGCUGGAAAGUGGAGGGCGAGGAUGACGAUGGCGGGCUUUGUUUCAUGCCCAUUCAGUUCAAAUACUAGUGGAGCUAUAAGAGCACUAGGAAAGUCGUACUACGACUAUUUUGCGGUUAAGGAGGAGAACGGCGCGCUUUACUUCGGUUGGGAGGACAAGAUUCUGGUCAUGGCUUCAGCAUGGAAAUGAACCGGUAGAGUUGUCUCUAGUGUUGUGUAAAUGUGGAUUGAAAUUCUAAAUUUAAGUUGUACCUAAUUACUAACCCAAAUUUGACUUGGGUGUCCUGUUGAUUAAGAUCCUGAGUUUAUUGUACUAAUCAUAAUAAUAUCUUGUUGUAUAAGUUAAUGCUUAGGUAAUUCCGCGACGAAAUCGUGUUGAUCUAGUCUUCUUGAAAUGCUUUGUUUGACUAAUUCUUUACUUUUCACCUUGGUUGAUGUUACUAUUAUCGAAUUAUACUGGAAACUUAGUUGAUUAAGUUGCGUAAUUAGACACGUCUAAUUCGUUUGUUGGUCAGUUUAAGAACCUUGGUAUGUCCAUAAACUAUUUGAUGACAUUUAUAAUAAGAUUGAAGAGGUUCCCUUAUUAUUUGCGUCAUCUUAUUGUCUAUUUAAUGUAAAAUUUUGAAAUUGCAAGAAUAUUCUUCUUUCUUGCAGCUUCUACUCAUCUAAAUUUUCAUGCAUCAUGCGUCUCAUUCAGGUAUUACAUAUUUCCUGCAGCAGUCCAUACCAUUUUGUUGAUUGGCUGUCUGCUGGUGAUAAAAAUACCUAAAUUUUUCGCUUCUGUCAGACAAGAAAAAAAAUUGCCAGGCACUGGAAAAAAAGAUGAUGGUACUUUCAUCAGCUUUACUGAUAAUUUUAAGAAAAAAAUGUAUGAAAUUUAUCUGAACUUUAGACUAUUUGGAUUCAAGUAUCUGAACUUUCAAAAUUUUAAUUUUUAUUACCUAGCCUUUCGACUUGUUUGAUUUACAUUUUUUAACUGCUCUUUCGGCACACAAUUUAAGCCAAUUUCUUCUUACUUUAUAUUAUAUAAAAUAUAUUAGUUUAAUUUGUAAAGAUAAACGACGUAUUCAAAUUUGAAAAUUAAAGUGUCAUUAACCGGCUCAAAUUAAAUAAAUUAAAAGGUUAGGUAGCAAAAUUAAAAUUUUUAAAAAUUAGAUAGUCAAAUCAAAAAGGAUGAUAGAGGACGUAAGUUAAUGUACAUUUUCACCUGAUUUUGAAUCUAUCUUUUACCCCAUCUGAUUUUUUCUUCAAGUUGGACUUUUUUUUUUUCAGCUGAGGCUGACCUUUCUACUACAUGAAAGAGCAGGCUGGGUUUACUGACAAGUGUCUUCAGUCAAGUUGGAAACUCUUAUUACUGGUGAAUUUUGUUACUCAGAAACCAUAAACUUGACCCCUUUAGUUCUAGAACUACUGUAGUUUCUCAUUUCUGAGAUUAAAGAUCCUCAAAUUGUUAUGUUCUUUUAUCAAGUGAUUGCAAAGAUUUCGACCAAUCCGAUUAAGUCUUAAUUCUUCGACAUCAUUAGUGCAAAAGUUCGAAAUACUCUGACAUAUUUCGAUCGGAUGAUUAUAUCAUAUAUCAGUGUGCUCUUUGUUUUCGAAAGUAAUCUCAUCCUAUGAAGGGUUAUUUCAGUCUAAACUUGUAUUUUUUAUUUGACUAAUCUUUUUAAUUUCUUCACCUAAAGCUCUAUACUUUUUAAUAAAUAAAUAAUAGUUAAAAUUAGAAAAUUUACCUGAACUACGGACCAUUUUGAUUUGUUUACUUAACGUUUCAAAAUUUUUGAUUUUAUUAUCCAACCUUUUAAUUUAUUUGAUUUAAAUUAGUCAACGACAAUUUAACUUAAAAAAUUUAAGUUAAUUAUUUAUUUUAAUAAAUUUAUAGUUAUGAAAAUUGCAUGAAAUAUACUAAUAAAAUGUGUAAAAAUUAACGAAGCAUUCAACUGUGGAAAUAUGGGAACCAAAAAAGAGCACAGUUUGUAGGGAGCUUAUCUAAAUCAGAUUAAACAUUUGAAUUGUAUGAUGAAUGCUAAGGCAAUAGAAAUCUACAGAGAGAGUAGUGAGGAAGAUGAGCACUUUGGCUUAAUAUGUCAAAUAAAAAGCCAACAGAGAACAAGAUAUCAAACAAACUAGGCAACUUGUCAAAUACACUCCCCAGUAAAUUUCUUACUCUUUAGAACAGGGCACUUAUGUAGUUCUUGGAAUCGGCUACGCGGUGCGUAGGCGAAAUUCCAAGGAGAUAAAAGAGGAAGAAUGCAUGAGACCAUAAACAUAAGAGGAGAGGAAAAUUUCAUAGUUAUAGUAGGACUCUUAGUCCAAAUACAAAGAGGACUUAAAUAAGAUUAGCACACAAGAUUAAAAAAAAAAAAAAAAAAAAAAAAUGCCAAAACAAAUUUCCUACUAGUAUAAUCAAAUGAUUCAUUCAAUGUACAGAAGCACUUGAAUGACUAUUCAUUGUUCUUCUAUUUAGUAUAAAGAAAACAUUCUGGCUUUCUUACACAAGAAAAUUGGGAAAAGUUACACCAAAUAAUCUGUCGAAACUGAAGAUCUAACAGAAGAAUGCCUCUAACUUCCAACAUUUUACUGCAUCCCAAGAAUCCCCAAACAAUUUGUUCUUAAGUUAACUCGCUUUUAUGAGGAAAGAGAGAUGGAUUCCAAAAUUGCUAAUUUACAACAAGUUGAUGGUCAACCAGCAGGACUAUGCGUAGGAGUUUUCUUCGGUGGGGCAUGCGGAAAAACAAGCAGCCCAAAAGAAAGAUCAUGCUACCAAACCGACAUGAAUAAUCACCCCGAAACCUCCGGAUUAUAACUACCUCACAAUUUUAGCAUGGCCGGUUGGUCCGAUCAUAAAAGGGAUAACUAUUCCGCCUUGUGACUUUAAUCUCCUGGAAUUGCCCAGAUUAACUAUUUUGCUGCGCAAGAAUGUGUUUUGAAGAAAUCAGGAUUGAGUUCUUUCGUGCAUUUUGGCCUUCGCGAAGAACACACCAGCUAAUAGACCUGUGAGAUGAAAAAUAAGGAAUGACUUUUUAAACGUGUCUUGCAGUUAAUGAAAAGAAAUAUCUUUUUCGACUGGGAGAAGAACGUACCGAAAAGGAUGCUCAUCGAAUUCUCCAUACUAGUUGGGACUUUAAAGAGAAAGAUUCCAGCAAUGGAGAGAGGAAUCUUGUUUAGUGACCCCAUAAGGCUGCAGAAGAAAUCAAUUGGAACUUCGAUAUCACCCAGUUAUUAAACUUAUUAUGAAGAGCAAUGAAAAAAAAAGGAGGUAGCAGAGAAUAACUAGCAAGCCGGAAAUAUUUCUUUUAUAAGCAAAUGACUCGGUUUGAGUUUACAGACGGGCAGUAACAUGGUCAAUUUAUGGGAAACGAAUCAGAGAACACAAUGUAACAAACAUCAGAGACAUUGGAGGGCAAACAGAGGCAAAGAAUAUGAUUGCAAAAUAUUGUGAAGUUUAGUUUGAGUGAAAAAUUUAGGGACUAAGUCACAACAUCACGAAAAACAGGGACUAAUCAUAUAUGUAACUAUUCUAAAUGAGCAAGCAAUAUAAUCUAGCAUCUUGGAGGAACCAAGUGACUGCUGAAGAGUUGGAAGUCAAGUUCACAUAUCAAAACAAAGAGUUUUUUAGUCUACCUGUAUGUAGUAGCACCCGUCUGGUGAAGAAACCACAUAGAAGUAAAACUAAUUGCGAGUCCCAAAAACCCGCUGAAAGUGAUAACCAACCAGAACAUGGGCAUCUUCAAAAGAGGCCUGUGAAUACACUUGACACAUACAUAAGCCCAAUAAGACAGUAAAAAUAAGUCUCGGUAAAUUAUGGAAUCAUCUUCCUGCAAUUACGUGCCACUACCCAAGGAUCAUAACAACUAGAUAACCACUACUGAUAUGUUCUUAAUGCAUAAGUUCCAUUUUCAAGUUGUUCAGGAUGAUUUUUGCUGUCCAAUUAUGAAAAGUUUCAUCAUUGACAUCGGUUUGAGGUUAUACCUUUUUUAGCAGAUGCUAAUAUUGCUGCUAAAAACGAUGUCAAAAGCACUAGAAUACUAAUUUGAACAAGGAACUUACGUUUUUGAGAGGUAUUCCACUUCAUUGAAAGCAAGAACAAGAAUGAGUCCCAAAGGAAGUGAAAGAGUGUUAUUGAGCAAAACCAUCGAAAACUCGUUCAGGUUACCAGACUUGGUAACUUGCUUAGCAGUAUCCAUUACUCUCCUCAAUGUGAGCUGAAAAUAGCAUUAGUCAUUGGUAAGCUAAAAUAGGUGGCAGAUGAUUUUAAGUAGCACUUGGUAAGCAAACUAUUAUGACACUGCUGGCAAGAACAGUAUUGUCUAGUGUAGACAUAUUUUAGAAAUGCCCAUGAACAAUGAAUGCAUUUUUUUUUCUGUCUAAUAAGGGGGAAAAAAUGUAUUACCGAGUAGGAUGCUGUUAGAAAACAAUUUACAAUCUGCCAUGCAUAGCCAACUCCAUUGAACGAGAGAUCGGUAAUGCCUCCUGAAAUUGCUGAUAUUAUCUGCACAGGUAUGAAAUUUGUAAAAUCAGAUGGCAGAGUUAAAAUUUGCAACAAAGGCAAAGCUAAACUCAGUUCUUUCCUCGAGAAUAAGAAUCUUGAUUUGAACAAAGUGCACUAGAAUAUCAAAGAGCAUAAAAUAUCAUGGAUGCUGACUAAAUGUCGAAUGAUGGAAAGGAACAUCCUUAAAAUUUAGAGUACGAUGUUAAAUAAUUGAUUAUCCUUCACAUCACAAGUUUAAAUUUCAUCCACAGUUGCAAAAAAGAACUUGCUCAUCCAACAUCUAUUUAACUAGCAAUGUACCCGCGCUUUGCCCCAGGUGCGAUGGCCUUGUUUUUAAUUAUAUUUAUAAAAUAUAGUAUAUAUUUUUAUUAAAUAUAUAUAUUAAAUACAUAUUUGUAUCAACAUCUGAUUUCAAAACAUAAAAUUUUGUUACAGAUUUUGUCUUUAGGUAUUUGAUAGUUUAAAUUUAUAUUUUUGAGGUUCCGUAAACUUUCAAAAUUUUCUGAAGCAAAAAGGAAAAGUUUGUAAUAUGCUUAUUUUUACGCCAGGUUGUCUAAAAAAAUAUAUAUCCUCUUUUUGUGUUUUUUUAAACUUUUAUUCUUCUAACUCUAUUCAGAUCAUUUUUGUUGACCCAUUCAAGCAAUAUGAAGAAUUGAAAAUUUAUGAUAAAAUAAAAAGUAGUUACUUGAUUCGUAGGUUUUUAAUUAAUUGACUUUAUAAUUUUUUUGAAUUUAUGAACAUGUAUUUAAUUUUGUAAGAAGUUUCUAAAUUUAGCACAAUUAAGUACCAAAAUAGUUUGUUCUAAAAUUUGGACUUACAAUAGAUAAAUGACAAAAAAUGGAGGAGUAUUCUAAUUGGUUUAAUAGUUGGUAGGCAAUGAAUUAAAGCAAUUUAGAAAAAUAGCUCAAAAUCCUAUAUAGUUUAGGAUUUAAAAUUUUAAAUUUUAAAGUUGAAAAUUUGGGAAUAAAUUAAAAUUUCGAGAUCCAAAAUUUGGAAUUUUAUAAUAUAAAACUUUAAAACCCUAUCUAUAUAUAUAGGUAGGGAGUGAGAGGAGGGGAGGGUUUUGGGGGACGUGUUAUCUCCCAAACCCUCCUUUAAUGUAGAAGAAAGAAUAGAUAGAAAUAGAUCAGAUGCACCGAAGAUUUUCCCAUACACUAUACAUAUGUCCACAAUCAAUGGUCUACGGUGCACCGGGUGUACUGAGUAGUUGAGCCGGACACGUCAAAAAAAGAAGAAUACCCCACGCACUUUAGUAUAUAGUAAUAGAUUGCUCAACAAGAAGAGAACUUCAGGAAUAUGUAAAAGCAUAAGGUGAGUUAAGAAGUGUCUCAUGGCUUUCAUUUGAUCACUGCACAUAUGCUGUAAUCUAUAUGAGUACUACACAAGCCACAGUAAUUGGUCAAAAUGUUGGAUAAGUUAGAUUGAGCAUGUUGAGAUAGAUGAAUCAUCAAUAUGACAACAAGGAUAGAACAUAUAUAUACCUAAGGUACAGAAAACACGUAUAUACUUAUCUACCUGCUGUGACAAUAAUAGCAUAAAUAUUGAAUCCUCUUUGGCUCGUCUUGAACAUUUACAGAAGCAUUGUUCAAAAGGGACUGUCAGAGAAGCCCGCCAACUAUUUUAUAGUAAGCUUCAUCCCAAAUUAAAGCAGAAGCUUCAAAUCAGAACUACUAUUUUGACAGUACAGAAACCAUUAUAGCUUCCUAGUCCAGAAAGAAGAUCUAAACUGUUUGUUUGCCAAUGCUUGCUUUUUUCCUUCUCUGGUUUCAGAAGCAUGAAAGAAAAGCCAGACCAAGUAGGCGCUACUUAUAAUGUUAUUUGUCAGCAUGGGUUUAGUUUACAACACAUUUGAAGUCAAUGGGAAUUUCAUAGAAAGCUGACAAGGGAUUCCAGUGAUAACCGGCCAUUUUGAUUCCUUGGAAAAACUCAAUGAAUCUAACCCAAUGGGGCAACAACAACAUAAUGAACAUGGGAAAUUUUGGAACAACUUGAAGAAUAAAGAUUUCGUAUCAGCAAAGGAAAUGUUAGGUGCUUGUAACAAUGGUUACUUUGCUCGCAGUAAUUGAAGAGAUCUCUUAGUUGCUUAAGUGGCUCCUAUCUUGAAUCUUUUCCCAAAAUCACGGAUGCAAAUGGGCCAAUUAUAUGCAAAUAUUCACCAAGGGCACACACGUUCCAAUAACCUGGCACUACUAAUACUGGUAGCAGGACAGCGUGCCCAUCCAUCUUAAAUUCAAAAUAUAGCUUCAUCAACACUAUAGAGUAUAGACACACCCAUCAAACUAUCUUAAGUUAGCAAAUUUCUCCCUCAUAGUUAAUAUAUGGAUAAGAAAACGGUUAACAGAUUCAGUGGAAUAAAAUAAAUCCACUUCUGCUUAUGUUCAGUUCUGUGGAAUGACAAGUACCAUUAGAAUCAAAGCGGCCCAGACUUUGCCGUCAUGAUGCUUCUUAAAGAGGUAUGUUUCACCGGAAGCAGUAAUAACAUUGGUAACAUUCUUCAAAACAGUCACCAUGGCCACAUUGAUGUACUUCAAACUGCACAUAGCAUGGAUAUUAAAUGCAAGAAGCAAAGAAAUAUAAUUCUUGAUUCUAGAGAAUUGCAUGUGCAUAAAGUGAUAUAUACUAUAUCAGUGAGAGAGAGAGAGAGAGAGAGAGAGCGAAGAAACAGAUGAUUUUAGUCGCACAUGAAAUAACUUAAAAUUCAAUAGGCUGAUAACAGAAAAUCAUCUAUUAUGUCAAGAAAUGAUAAGAUUCAAUAAAGGAACCUUAACACUUGUUGUAUUACAACUUAGUGAAAAGAGAAAUUGUUCAUAAAUAGAAGUGAAAAUGGUAAACAUAGAGAACUAAUCUUUUUUUUUUUUGUAAUUUGUAUAGAACUCACCUGGAUUAUAGCCUAGUUUGAAACAUAGACCUUAACUUUAGAUAUUUUGGUUCUGCUGACCUACUACCAAACUUUUUACAGGACGUUUUAAUUUAAUUACCUCCUCAUCAUAACUUAAUUGCUUUUCUUUAACAAUUGAAGAAAAUAUUUUCUCACCUAAUGAAAUAUUCUAUUACUUGACAAAAAAUUCUAUACUCCUCUGAAUGGAAAGAAUUUAAGAUCUAACAGAACUUGAUGGAGUUUUCUUAAAUCAAAAGCAGUGAAAGGCUAGGUAGUAAAUCAAAAUUUUCAGAGUAGAGAUAGCCCUUUACAAAUGCGUUGUAAUUCAAGUAAUGUCUAUACACUUUUAUCUACGAGAAAGAAACAAAAGGAUAACAUAACCAACAGGAAAUAUUUAAUGUUUGAGGUAUUACCAUCUGCAAAAAUUGGAACCAUAAGACCCUAGAAUAGCUAAAAAUCAAAUCCUAGGUUCUCAUAAUCAUGAACGAAAAUCUCCAUUAGGCAGAAAUUAUUACUAGAUAACUUGUUUGGACAUCCAGACAAUCUUAAUCUGCUGUUCUCAACAAUGUCCUUAAAAGUAUGCAACAUAUACUUGAAUGUGGAUGAUAGGAACAGCAGAUUAAGAUUGAAAAUCUAGAACAUAAGUUCUAAUGAUUCAGAGGGCUCAAAUUUUACUUUCUCAAUAACAGACAAUCUUCAUGAAAAUAAGUAUAGCGCAUUCUUUCAUAAAAUUCUAUUGAGGAACCCAUCAAGUUAGAUGACAAAGAUAAUGUCCACUCGGGUAAAAACUUUCUCCUGAAUCAUUAAAUAUAAAUAGCAACAGUAGAACCUACUGGGCAUUGUAAUAGCCGUCGCAGUCUACACAUAUUCUAUAUAUAUAUAUAUAUAUAUAUCCAGUUGCCAAAAGCGAAAUAAACAUACCUAAACAUGCUUGUAAUGAGCAUUCCAACAAAUAUAGCAUUUACUGGCAACCAAUCUUUAUUAGUUUCCAUGUAAAUGUUCUGUCGAGAUAACCCAGAAAUACUCAAAACGGAGACUAUGGUCACUGAUACAAAAUUCUGCAACAACAAAAAUCACAGUCAAUGUCAUAACAUUUGUGUCCCUGAAAAAUUAUUUAUUUACAUUUAUACCCUGUAAAACCUGAAUUUCCCAAUAUAUAUAUUAUAAUAUAUAUAUAUAUAUAUAUAUAUAUAAUAUAGAGUGGGCUGGUAUGCUUAUGGAAGCACGGAGCCUCCGUGCUUCGAAGUUGUUUUGAUGUUCGGUACUUCAAAUCGACGAUCGUCCGUUAGACUUGAUCUAGAGUAUUUGAAGUAUCUAGAAAAUAAAUUUGUGAUUUUCGAUAUCAUUUGCCUAGUGAUCAAAGGGCUCAAAAUCAAUAAUUUAAACGGCCUGGUGAGCCGGUUGCAAGUUUAACGGUGUAGAAAUAUCCAAAUCACAUAAAAUUUUGAUAGAAAAUUCUUUAUACCAUAUAAAACAAGAUCAAUAACUUUGAUCUAAAAUUUUAAUGUCAUAUCAUCAUAUUUUGUAAGAUUUUUAUUUUCAGCCGUUGAUUUUGAGCCACUUCGAUCACUAGGCAAAUAAUAUUGAAAAAUCGCAAAAAUUAUUUUCUAGAUACUUCAAAUACUCUAGAUCAAGUCUAACGGAGCCGAUCGUCGAUUCGAAAGUCUAAACAUCGAAAACAAAGUGAAAGCACGGAGCCCUCCGUGCUUCCAUAAGCAUCCUAGCCGCACUCAUAUAUAUAUAUAUAUAGGCUAGGGCUACUAUCCUAUUAAUAGGAUAGUAGCACUUGUCCUAUCAAAUUGUUCUUGAUGAUAGAGAUUCCGAAUCGAUGAUCGGAGCCGUUGAAGUUGAUCUAGAGUAUUUGAAAUAUCUAGAAACUAAAUUUCAUAAAUUUUAAAAAUUAUUUACAUGGUGAUCAAAGUGUCGUAAAAUCGACAAUUUUUGACAGCCUAUAUGAGCCAUUUGCUUGUUUAACAGUGUAGAGUAAUCCAAAUUGCUUGAAUUUUUGAUAGAAAAUUCUUUAUAAUAUUUAGAUAAUGUUUGAUAACUCUGAUUAUAAAUUGAGAAAGUCAAACCUCUAUUUUAAGAAGGUUAUUCAUUUAAGACCGUUCAUUUUUCAAUUCUUAAGAUGAGCUUGAUAAUGAUUUUUAAAUAUUACAAAAUUUGGUUUCUAAACAUUUCUAAUUGUGUAGAUCAAUUUCAACGGUGCCGAUUAUCAAUUUGAAGUUUCGAUCAUUCAAAUCGACUUGAUAGGACAAUGUCCUCAAUCCUAUUAAUAGGAUAGUAGAUGGACUCUAUAUAUAUAUAUAUAUAUAUAUAGAGAGAGAGAGAGAGAGAGAGAGAGAGAGAGUCCGGCUACUAUACUCUUAUGACAAGGAUUUAAGUGCCCGUCGGCACAUGCCGUAUCUACCGUACCAUAUCGUGUCAACAAAAUAUCGGCACGAUACAGCACCCAUACCGAUGGCACAGCUCAAAACCCUCUAUUCUUUAAAUUAGUUAGUAAUUUUUCUCAAUAAAAUUCAAAAGGUUUGAUAAAAAUACAUAAUAAACAGUUAGAAUACUUUGUUAUUAAAGAAAAUAAAUAUUUCAUGCUAUUAUAUAUCGGCACACAUGAAUUUUUUGUGACCCGCAUGCAUCGGCACGGCCCGACACUAUGUCGUACCGUGCCGGCAAGUUUCUGGCACGACCCCGUGCCACGACACUUAAAUCCUUAUCUUAUGAGUACGAUAGUCUUCGUGCUUAUAAGUCGUUUUGGAUGAUAGAACUUCCGAAUCAACGAUCUAUACCAUUAAACAUGAUUUAGAGAUUUUAAAAAUUAAAUUUCAUAAUUUUUCGACAUCAUUUACCUUAUGAUCAAAAGAUCUCAAAAUUGAAGGUUCCCGACCAUCUCAAAAGAUCUCUAUUCACUUUUAGAUAAAGAUCAAUAACUUCGAUCUUAAAUUGAAGGUUCCUACUAUCCAAUUUUAGGAUGUUGUUCAAUUUUGAUCGUUCAUUUUAUACCCAACUGAUGGACUUUAUUUUAAUUUUGAAAAAUUAUGAAAUUCAUUUUCUAUAAGUUUCAAAUGCUCUAGAUCAUAUUUAAUAGCGUGGAUCAUCGAUUUGGACGCUCCAUCAUUGAAAACAACUUAUGAGUACAAAGAGCACUAUACUAAUAAGAGUAUAGUAGCGCUCUCUCUCUCUCUCUCUCUCUCUCUCUCUCUCUCUCUCUCUCUUUAUAUAUAUAUAUGUAUAUAUAUAUGAAUUAGGCUACUAUACUAUUGAUAGCACCAAGUCAUUGGUGCUAUUAGGUUUUCGGCCUUGGAUGAAAAGAUGUGCAGUAAGGAUGAUGGUGGUCCCCUGGGGUUGAGUGGGUGAUUGAUUGAAUAGUAUGAUCUAACUGAUAGAAAUGAUUAAAGAGUUAGAUCUAACGCGGAAAACUUGAUAGCACCAAGCGCUUGGUACUAUCGAUAGUAUAGUAGCCGGACUAUAUAUAUAUCCAUCAAUAGUGCAGUUCUUUUCCCUUGUCUUAAGAUGGCAGAGUCAUCCAUCCAAUUCAUUGUUUUGUUUAGAAAAAAUUUCUGAAUGAGAGUGAUUAUUUAAGGACAAGGGUAUGUUGUUUGAAGAUAAAUUUGGAAAUGGAUAUAUGAAAAUUCAGAUUCUGCAGGGGUUUAAAUGUACAAUGAUAAUUUCUCAGGGGCAUAUGUAGGUAUCAUACGGUAGUAACUUUACCUGGUAUAGCAUCAAAAAUAUUCCAGCAUUAAAAUCGUAGCCAGAUAGAACAAAUUUGUUAACUAGUAUCAUGCUGCAUGAAGAUAUGCAGUAUGCGAGGCCAGAUAAAAGAGCCUGGUUAUAUAUCUUAGGAGUCCGAUGGUAGCGAAAACUCUUAUCUCUAUCUUUUGAUGAUUUACAAUCUUCCAAGUCGAUUUCAUCAUCACAAAGGGACUUCAUUCCAGCACAUGACCUGUAAGAUUCAAAGUAGUAGUUUCAAAAGCAAAAUAGAUUCCUUUAUCAAAUACAAAAUUAGAAAUCAAAUUGAGAAAAGGUAAAAAACAAAGAAGAAAAGAGUACUACAAAUCAAAAACAUGACCCAGGUAAGGAAAAUGUAAACACCCUUUACAAUUUACAUCAAAUUGCUUCUCAUUUCAGUUAUUAAAAAGAAAAAGAAAAAGGGUGCUUUGUAUCUGUUCUGCACAAUAUGAACUUUUAUAACAAAAUUGAACCAGCAAGAUUUCAUGCUAUAAAUAUUAUGUGAAGAUCCAAGGAUAACGAUACAAAAGCGAAAGGAUCAUGAGAAACGAAAAGGAGGGUAGCAUAUGGAUUACAACAAUAACUUUCUCUUUCCAAAAUAAUCAUAGACAAUGAUACAUAACAUUAACUGAUUAGCAAUUGCAUUAACUUCUUGUGUUUAUAAAGAAAUCACUAGAGGAAGAAAGAAUAAAACAAAAAAAACAAAAAAAAAAAAAACAUUUUAACAAACAUACCAACAUAAGAAGAUAAAGAUUCAAGAUAGUGGAAGCAAGAUAGGGCAUGUAGCACUUUUUUCUUUCACAUUUUAUUUAAACAUCUUUGAUCCCAUCACUUAAUUUUGUUGAUAUAAUCAUAAAACUAAUCAUUUUCAUCUAGUCUUUCUAUUCCUAAAUUUGAAUUGUGUUCACUGUUAGCAAUCAAAACAAACAUAAUAUUCACUGUGUUUAUUUGAUCCCUUGCUCUCUGAUAGAACGGCAUUCAAGAAGUGAAGUAAAUAGAUAUAUAAAUAAAUAAAUAAAUAAAAAGGUUGCAAUUGGAAUUGAAUAUUAUAAAUCUCAUAAAAUAUUACUGAGAAGCAUAGUGUGGAACAAAGAAUACCUCAACUUGAGAAAUAAAGUGAAGAAUGCAUACCUGCUAACAAUUUCCCUCCUUAUAGGAUUUGCUACUGCAGCUACUGCACCGUUCUGCUCUCGGCUCAGUAAAGCACUUUUCUCACCAUUCAGUGGUGGACUAUUCAUAUCCUCCAGCACAUGUCGUUCAGAUAGUGCCUCGGGUGAAUCGACAGGAAUACCUAAAGGAAUAACCCUUGAAGAUAAAAGGAGAAACUUUAGGAUGUGAACAUAACACAAUGUGGAAAUUCAAAGUAUGAAAAAGAUUUAAAACUGAUAGGAAGGAACACACACAGAGAAUUCCGAUGCCAAUCAACUUUUAGACAUUAAGUUAAUUUGAUUCACAGCAAAUUUAAUUCACUAGUACAUAAGAUACUUUAUGCAAGACUGUCAGGAGGCACAAACAACAUUAACAGUUAAACAAAAACCGUACAAAAAAAAAAAGCCUAGAUACUGUAGAUUUCAUCUAGUGGAUAAACGAAAAUAGUAAGACCAACACGGCCUUGUGCCUUGAUUAAGCCCAAUAAAUUGAGAUCAUCUACAUGAAUCCUAAUUCACAAUUCAACAAUAUUUUAGGUAGUGUCUUACAUCAUGUUGAUGGGCAUUAAAUCUUAUUGUUACUUUCAGUAGGGCCUUUCUAUUCCUCUGCUUGUUGAGUUUUCUUAACUUCAUAGAGUUCGCUAUUAUUUGUGCACUGUCAAUUUCUUAACUUAAUAAAGUCAACUUAUUUGAGCAUUGUGUAAUAAGAGGGAUUAUUUUUCUCCAUUUUAACAACAGGUAAAAUUCCUAUUACCAUUUGCUUAUGAACGUUACUCCAUCUAAAAAUUUAUCUUCGUGGCAGGACUAUAUGAAAGUCCUGUGUGCAACUUUCCUACACUUAAAUCAUAAGCAACUUAACAAAAAUGCCUCUUCAAAUGCAACGACAAUAGAAAGCAUCAGAAAAACUCCACAUGGGUAGUCAUGUUUGACUACAUUAAUAGCCCCUCGAACUCUCCUUCCAUAAGAAAAAUAUAACUAUUAAAUCAACUUUUCAUUCCCUUAAAGGUUCAAGAAUAAGAGAAACUACUAUCAUCGCAAAAACAACGAGUUCUCUACUUCCGUAGUCCCCAUAAUUUGGCCUCAAUCAUACGACUAAAGCCAAGCUUACUCACAAAUUCAUCGUUGGAAUUAAUAAAUAUCUCAGCUUGAACAGUGAUAGGCCUAACCAAGCUUAGUACAUUUAGACCCCUACCUAGAUCAAUCUUAUUGAUCAUAAACCAAAGAGUCAGAAGCCCAAGCAAUAAUUCAACAACUUGUAGUCUAUCUCAGAAUGAGCAAUGCCAAGAAAAAUGACUAACUUAAAACAUUCUCAUAUAUUUAUUUAAUUUGUCAUAUCUAUCAGUUCAUGCUCGAUUGAGACUUUUAUAUUUGAGAUUCCUAGAGUCUAUUCCUUAUUAGCAAGAUGAGCAAAAGAUUGGUGGCUGUGGGCCUAUCUAACCAACCCUAGAUCACAUAACCUGUAAUCUUUUCGCUUUAUAUUUCUUUUAGAAGAGUAAAUCGAAAUUUUCAGUGAUCCAUAUCAACAGACUUAGCCAGAAGAAUCCUAACAUCUUUUCAUUUACACCGAAUCUCUGAUGCCUUCCCAUGUUGAGUUCCUUUCUUUUACUCAAGUACCUCUAGGUUAAACACAGCGAGUCAAAGCAAUUAGUAUGUAGUAUAGCUAAUUUGGCUUUUCAAUAUCCGUGGAGGGGAAUAAGAGCUAAGAAUUAAGCAAUAAGAAUAAAGAUCCCACUAUUAUCCCCUUUUAACAAGCAAAAAUUCCUUCAAUUUGGGCCUAAUCAACACCUACUAGUAAAAUCCUCUAGAAUCAAUGAAGAAUCCCAAUCCCCCCAAAGCCCAACCUUUUAUAGCCUUAAAGAUUACAACAAGAGGAUAACAAUAACCAAAAAAGCUUCUUUGCUCACAAAUUAAAACGAAAAACACCAUGAAAUAACAAAGAGGACCCAGAUGCAAUCCCAUCACCUCGAUCUAAAAUCGUAAAAUCUCAAAUACCCACUUCUUAUUUUUACCUAAUAACCCUAGAAUCUAGAUCAAAUCGCUUCUUUCUAAAGCAAUAACAAUCGAAAGGGUUGAUCGGAAGCUUUACCUAGCACCCAUCGCCUCCCCAAAAUUUGACCAGGGAAACCUCCACCUUGCCCCCAACUCAGGAUUCGAGGACUACAAAGAGAGAGAGAGAGAGAGAGAGAGAGAGAGAGAGAGAGUUGUGUGUGUGUGUGUGUGUGUGUGUGUGUGUGUGAGAGAGAGAGAGAGAGAGAGAGAGAGAGAGAGAGAGAGAGUGAGGUGGGGGGUGGAGGUGGAGGGUUCAAGGAAUCGAGGAGGGGGAGGAUCCUCUGUGGAGCUCUUUGAAAGGGGAGAGACGAGGGGGUAUUUAAACGGUCCACGCAACGGGGGUAAGAUCCAAAAAAUUAAAAAGCAAAAAAAAAAAUAAUAAUAAAAGGGGGCAAAAAAAAAAAAGAAGGAAAUUUCUGUUUUUAGGUGAAAACUGCAUGUGGUGCCCCCUCCACUAUGAGGUUUCUCAAAUAGGUCCCUAAACUUUUUUUUUUUUUUNAGUUGUUGAUUGAUAGUUUAGUUGUUGCUGCACUUGAUUUUUUAUCAUUUUCUUGCGAAAUUUAUUUAAUAAUGAUUCGGUGAAACUUAAUAUUUUUUUAGCUGAUAAAAUUUUUGGUUUUAAUUAGUCCGAUGAAUAUCCAACAAUAGGUUCCAAUGAACGAAUUAAUAAAAAUUUAAAAGUUGAGAAGAUAUCGAUGAAAACAAGUUAUCUAAGAAAUAUAUAUACUAUGCGUUUUAGCAAAUUAAGGUGCCUUCCAUGAAUAGUUGACGAGUCUAGCUAUAAUCUCUCGUUGAUACGUUGGUACCAACGUAGUUUAUUUUAUGUUUUGCACAGCAGGUGCAAACCAAUCAAAUUUUUUUUUUUUAUUAUGUAAUAUUAAUAUAUUAAUGGUUUAUAAAAAUAGUGUCAAGACUCGGACCACCUCUAAGUAUAUAUGAGUCGCGACCGUCGCACCUCUAUACGAUUCAAAUCUGAAUUCUUUAAUUUGAAUAUAAGACUUUGGAUCGAUAUUAAUUAUAAUGGCGCAAGUAAAUCUCGAAUCAUUCAUGCGACUAAAAUUUAGCCGUCAAUGCGCGCGAUACAUAUGACUACAACUAGAGCGUGCUCUAUUUGAAACUGUGUUGUCAACUACAUAGCUAGUCUCCUCUUGGAUCCACCAUCCCAUACGUACCUAUCUACAAGGCAAAUGGGCACGUUCCUAGUGAUUAGAUAAUGAUUUUACGAAGUUAGCAACUAGCUAGCAAUGCACAUGUAAUUAAUUACAUGCACCAAAAUACUCAAAGAUAUGCUCUCUCAAUGACUCACUCUAAGUUAUUGUACUUAGAAUGAAGUAGCUUGACACUUCCCGCGCUAUUAAAAUAGUCUAUAUAACCAACUCAAUCAAAUGCAACACUAUCUUAUUUGUAUCACCGACCUCGAGAUAUAUACCAGCGGAUCAUUCAAGAGUAGAUUAUUCAUCCUCAUCGAUGUUGUUUACGCUAUACCCCACACGAUCAAUGUACGCUAAUCUUUCGACAUCUUAUCCGUAACUAGUAAAUUAACCUGCAGGCAUACAAGCAUUAGGAGUCGAAUUGAGCUUGUCACUCUUGGCAAUUUCUUUUUUUUUUCUUUUUGGAGAGAUAUAUAGGUAGCACGCUACCCGCUUCGUUUUAUUUCAUUUAGAAAUAAACUGAGCUGGAAAUGUAAAUCAACUAGAUUCAAACUUGGAACCUCGGGUACCAACGACCAAGCCCUUUACCACUCUUGGUAAUAUUGUUAAGUCUAUUGCCGGCCUACUAAAUUUGUCGUACAUCAACUUGCACAUAUCCUGAUGUAAAUCAUCACUCCACAAAUUAAUCAAGACCUCUUCAGGGUUUUUAAAUCAUACUAGCACUAGUAAAUAGUAAAAAGGAUUAAUUGGUCCCUACGACUCCCACAUAUUGGUAUAACUGGGCAAUCAAAUCUUUGGGCCUUUGCCUAGAACGUAACGCGCGUUCUUAAUACGCUACCUAGUAUAGUAUAGUAGUAUAUGUCAAAUACACAUUCAUAUAUGCCUGCACUGUCCAAGGAAAAAUGCAAUCCGCCAUUUGAAAGAAAAAAAGGUAUGUAAAACACCAUCAAUUUGUAUAGUUAAAGAAAAAAAAAAAAAAAGUUUCGUCACAUCUUUAAAUGGAUCUUAUAAAAUUAUGUGAGUGGUAUAUAUGAUUAAAACAACUGUAAUUAAUUUGAUGGAGGAGCUGAGGGGGUCUAAUUAAUUGUUCUGUGUACUUGCGAAAGAACAAAAGUGUAGGGGGUUUCUGUGCAUCUUUUAUUAACGUUUGUUCUUUUUUAUAUUCUGGGGAUAUAAUUAAUUAAUUAAUUAAUCCGCGCGUACGUGUCGUCGUCGGGUUGGUCGGAUUCCGCCAAAUUGGCUUCGCCGAACAGCAGCGGAGGAGGAAGAAAAAUCUUGGUAGGGGGACGGACCGCAGCUGACGUGGGCUGAGCGUUGACCAGUCGUACUUCUCCCCUGUAAACGUUUUACAGUCAAUUAAUCAUGCAUGCAUUUUUCGGAUUCAGAUUCCUAAGGUAGCGUUUGGUUCGAAAACAAGAUGGGAAUAAGUCUUUAUUCCCCCCUUUGUUUCCAAAUAUAAUGUUUGGUAUUCGAAAACAGUAGUUCUAGAAUUUCAAGAACAAAUUGGUAUCAGGCUGGAACUGUUGUUCCACCAUUUUUCUGGAACAAGCUUGUUACUUGACGAGAACAAGGUUAAUUAAAAUCUAAAUUUAAUUUUAAUGGCAGUAAAUUAUUAAUUAAUCUAAUUAAAAUAUUUUAAUUAUUAUUUAUUGCUUUAAUAAUUAAAUAAUUAAAUAAUUUAUUAUUUAUAAUUAAUUAAUAAUAAUUAGAUAAUUAUUUUAUUAUUUAUUAAUAAUUAUUAUUCUUAAUGAUAAUCAAUAUUAUCAUUAAUUUAUUAUUUCUAAUUAAUUAUUAAUAAUUAUUAUUAUUAAUUAAUNUUACAUAAUAUAAUUUUAAUUUCAAAUUACAACUCUUAUUCCUCUCGUUCCAAUCUAACAAUCUAAACACUAUUUACCUUAUUCCUAGGAAUAACCUAAUUUUUCUACUUAUACCUGAAUAUGUACCUAUCCCUGAAACUAGCAGUUCUUACUUAUACCCGAACGUGAAAUUAAUUGCAAUAAUAAUAAUAAUAUUGUAAAUAGAUAGAAAACAACACUAUUAUUUUUUUACUUGUUAUAUUAUUAUUAUUUUUUUCACUAUAACCCUUUUGGUUUUUUUUUUUUUUUCCUAGGCCCCCGACUUCUCGGAGGACAUAUAAAAUAGAAUUAAAUGCAUACUGUCCUCUAUAAAUAUAGUAAAUUCUAAAUUUAUCCCUCUAAAAUUUAAUUUUUAUAUGUGUUCAUAAAAAAAAUUCUAAUAUUUUCAAAUAAGUCCUUGUGGUUUGUGACCGUUAGAGAAUUGUUAGUUUUUUUAAUUUUGCCAUCACAAAUAUGUCUUUCCAAAAGGCACAAUAAUAUAAUAUAAGAGGGAUAAAAAUGUCAAAUUAUCUCAUAAACUAAUGAGAGUUAAGUAUUUAAUCUAUAGUUAACUAAAUUUUUCUAACGAAUUCUAACGACAGGAAUAUAUUUAAAAAUAUUAGGACUUUUGUAAGAAAAAUAUAUAAAAGUUGAACUUAAUUUGUAGUAAUAUAUUUAUAAUUUACUAUGUUUGUAGGGACCUCUAUGCAAUUAAUCCAAUAAAAUAUUAUACAUGUCAGUUAUUUUCAUACGUUAUAACUUAGCGGCAAUUAUUUUCUUAUACUAUACUGUUGUUUUAAAUAGAUCUAGAACUUCAGAAUAAUUAAUAGAAGAAUUAGGUUGUAAAACUUUAUUAAGUCCUGGUGCUAUAGCGCAUUGUUCAGUAUCUCAUUAUCUGUUAAAUUUGCACUCAGAAGUAGAUAAAAAAAAUUAGAUAAAAGAGAUCUUCUAUUUCGCUAAUAUUAUCAAAAUUAAUACAUUAUUAAACAAUUUUACUUAAUUUAUAUCAAUUUCCUUUUAUGAGUUUACAGCUAAAUUCAAUAAUUAUUAUAAAUUUUGGACCCAUUUGAAAUAAUAACAAAGCACAACAAGUAAUUGAGAUUGGAGCUAAAAUGCAAGGAUAUAUAGAGGGCGUCUGGUAUGCUUCUGGAAGCACGGAGCGCUCCGUGCUUCCAAAUUAUUUUCGCGCGAUGUUCGGACUUUCGAAUCAACGAUCGGCUCCGUUAGAGUUGAUCUAGAGUAUUUGAAGUACCUAGAAAAUAAAUUUUAUGAUUUUUCGAUAUCAUUUCCCUAGUGAUCGAAGUGGCUCAAAAUCAACGGCUGAAAAUAAAAAUCUUACAAAAUAUGAUGAUAUAACAUUAAAAUUUUAGAUUAAAGUUAUCGAUCUUGUUUUAUAUGGUAUUAAGAAUUUUCUAUCAAAAUUUUAUGUGAUUUGGAUAUUUCUACACUGUUAAACUUGUAAACGGCUCACCACGGCCAUUAAAAUUAUUGAUUUUAAGCCCCUUCGAUCACUAGGCAAAUGAUAUCGAAAAAUCACAAAAUUUAUUUUUUAGGUACUUCAAAUACUCUAGAUCAACUCUAACGGAGCCGAUCGUUGAUUCGAAAGUCCAAACAUCGAAAAUAACUUGGAAACAAGGAGCGCAUACCAGCCCACUCUCUCUCUCUCUCUCUCUCUCUCUCUCUCUCUCUCUCUCUCUCUCUCUCUCUCUCUCUAUAUAUAUAUAUAUAUAGAGUUGAUCGAGCUAGAAUACUAUCGGUAGCAAACGGGCUCCGUUGCCACCCAUUUGUUUUCGAUGAUGGAGCCUCCAAAUUGAUGAUCGGAACCGUUGAAUAUGAUCUAUACCACUUGAAGUAUCUAAAAAUCAAAUUUCAUACUUUUUCGAUAUUGUUUCCUUGUCCAUCAAGUGAGCGUCAAAAUGAACGACUGAAAAUGAAUAUCCUCUAAAAAGUGAUGAUAGGAAUUUUGUAAUCAAGAUCGAGAGUAUAAAUCUUAUUCUAAAUAGUUUAAAGAAUUUUCUAACCAAAAUUCAAUUGAUUUGGAUAGUUUUACAUAGUUAAACGAGAAAACGCCUUAUAUCUACCAUUAAAAUUACAAAUUUUGAAACCGUUUGAUCAUUAGGUCAAUGAUGUCGAAAUGAUUUGAAAUUUGGUUUCUACAUACUUCAAGUGGUAUAGAUCAUGUUCAACGGUGCCGAUCGUCAAUUUAAAGACUCCAUCAUCGAAAACAAAUGGGUGGCAACGGAGCUAGUUUGCUACCGAUAGCAUUCCAGCUCAACUCUCUCUCUCUCUCUCUCUCUCUCUCUCUCUCUAUAUAUAUAUAUAUAGUGGGCAAAUGCGAAUCAUGUCUCAUCUCCUAGCCGGAGGUGUCACUUGCAGAAGCUCAAUAUUGAGUUGGAAUUCAGCUCCAGGCUGCAAACCAGGAUAGAAUACAUUGAGUUAGAUUCUUACCGGACAUCAUUAUAGGAUCAUCUGAAAAAUAAUUACGAUAAUAUUGAUAGAUGAAUAUGCUCAGUCCAGGUAGAAUACUUUUGAAAGCACAGACACGGAUACCUCCGUGCUUCUAAGUUGUAUUCGAUAAUGAAAUAUCUGAAUCAACAAUUGACUCCAUUAGACAUGAUUUAUACUAUUGGAAAUCUGGAAACUAAAUUUUAUAAUUUUAUCAGCAUCAUUUGUCCAAUGAAUAAAUAAUCUCAAAGUGAAUGUCUAAAAAUGAAAAUCUCAUAAAAAAAUAAUGAUAGAAGACCAAAAUUUCAGAUUAGACGUGCUGAUCAUGACGAGACACUCGAAUCGACGAUCGGCUCGUUAAACAUAAUCUACACUGUUGGAAGUAUUUAGGAACCAAAUUUUAUGCUUUUUUGAUAUUAUUUGCUUCGCCAACAAAUAAACUAAUUUUCAUUAAAAAAAUAAGGGAAAACUUCAAAAACCCCCCUGUGGUUUCACACUUUUUCAUUUUAGUACCCUGUGAUUUAAAGUGUAUCAAGUUAGUACCCUAUGGUUUCUCACUUUAUCACUUUAGUACCCUAUGGUUUAAAGUGUAUCAAGUUAGUACUCUAUAAUUUUAUUUUUGUAUCAAGUUAGUACCCUAUGGUUUUAUUUUUGUAUCAAGUUAGUACCCUGUGGUUUUAUUUUUGUAUCAAGUUAGUACCCUGUGGUUUUUAAACCAGAGGGUGCUAAAGUGAUAAAGUGCGANUUAUAUAGAAAUAUUAUUAUAUAAUAUUUUAUUUAUAAAUUUGUAAUUAUUUAUUAAUAUUUUUAAAUAUAUAACUCUUAUAUAUUAUUAAUAUAUGUUUAUUAUAAUUUUAAAUAUAUUUAAUCUAUAUAUAAAAAUUAUUAUAAUAAUAUAUAUAGUAUAUUAAUUAUUAUAUAUUUAUUAUAUAGCCGAAUUUUUUAUCCCGAAUUUUUAAUUGGUGAACGUAUAAUACCCAUAUAAAUCACAUAUCCGAAUAAUUGCCGAAUUCUUUUUUUAGCCGUAUUUUUCAACGGAUUUAAAAAUUAAAAGACGAGUUUUAUCCGAAUUAUAUCCGUACCGAAUUUUCGCCGAAUCUGAAUUAACUAACUAUACCUCCAGUCACCAAGGUUGGUUUAGCUGCGAUUUAUCUCAUCCGUUCAUCUGCUCGCUUCCGACGUCGACGUGCUUAAUUAAGGCUUCGCCGAUUGAGAACAUCUAGGCUUCGCCGAUUGAGAAUAGUCUGUUAAAGGAAGCGAGCGUGAGCGAGCGUGUUGAAAUGACAAAUAUGGGGAUAUUUGGCGCGAGCCUGUUCAAUAACCCAAAUAUAGCCCUGUGCCUUUCCGUACAGCCCUGCUCCCAAGCCUAAUUGAGCCACUAAGCCUUUAUUAGGAUCAAGGAAAGACCUACACCGAGUGCUCUCCUGUUGUUGUUCGCCGUCCCCGCCCAUGGUUCGCGAAUAGACUCAUUUGGAGGACUUAACCAAACUUCAUCUUUUGGUCAAAACCACAGACUACAGACCCGCCCCGGUGCGGGAGCCGCUCGCACCCACUAGAGACUUUACAUAAAAGUAUGGAUUAGACCAGAUAUGGGGAGAAGUCUCCAUUUCUCCUCACGUCCCGCGGACCACAACAAAAUUAGGUUAUAGCGAUACAUGUUUGGGACACUUUUGUAUAAGUGUCCCAUUUAUGUCAAAAUUUUUUUAAAAAUCUACUAAUGACUAAAUAUAAAGCCCAAUCCAACCAAAAAUAAAAGAUUACUUUACUCAACCCACCCCACCCAGCCCAUUCGACCCGAUUGCAAACAUAAAACAAAAAAAAAGAAAAAUCGAUUAUCAUCUCCCCUUCUCCCCUCACUCAAUCCACUGAAAUUCUAGACGAAGAGCCCUUCCAUCUCCUCAUCCUCCGCCACCGCAGCCAACGAGGUAGAGUUCCGGCAGUUGCUAAAUGCUUAAAUAAGUGUUAGUAAAUUAGCAGCACUCUUUUAGAUUAUACCGACACUCUUUAACUGUCACUAUAUACCUAGCGACGCCACAUAUAGCAACACUUUUUAAAAGUGUCGGUAAUUUAGCCAGCAGCACUUUUUUUGACCUGUACCGACAUUUAAAAGUGUCGCUAUAGACCAUUUUUGUUGUAGCGCCGUCUGUUGGCGGAACGUUGGAACUAAUGAAGCAAAUGAUUGACCCAUCAUAUCAUCCAAAGAAACGGAAAAUACCAAAAAGUUCGAAUUGACAGCUAAUAACAUUGAUUCAAUUGGCAUUGACAUAAUAGGAAUAUUUCGUCUAUUAAGGAGGAUUCCCCGAAUACCUAAAAUAGAGAUAAUCAUUGAAAAUGUGAAAUAUUUAAUUGGAUCCGUUUCGGAAACGUGGAAUGUCAGAGAAAUUCAAAUGUUGUGAGGCAACUCGAAGUUGAGUUGAUCACCGCCCCCCAGGGUUUGUUCUCGGUGAUCAACAUACGAUAAAACUAGGCUUUGCCGAUUGAGAACAUCUAGGCUUCGCCGCUUAAGAACAGCUGUGGGAUAGCAACCGGGGGGAGAGACCGAAUGGUCCCCCCCCGCAUUGGCCUCGCCGACUGAGAGGAAUCAGUCCCCUCAGGGUAUGGGAUUGCACGAGUUGGCUUUGCCAGCAUGGGCCGGACAUCCAGCAAUGAGGUGCCGAGCAUCUUCUCAUUUUCGAAAGCCAUCAACGACUUUAAUGCAAUGCAGCAGCAGCAGCUGUGCUGUCGAUCCCGAUCUCGAUCCAGUCGUCGAUGAAGCAGCAGAGCCUGUUGCAUCGUAAGUCAGAGCAUCAAUCUCUUUUUGGAGUAGUAUCCUUUUUUCGUCGAUCAUGCGUUGACUCGGAGCACCACCAUCGAGGGCCUAAGAUGAAGCAGAUCUAGUUCCAGGCAAAGAGUUGGAUCAAUAGCCCAAUCUUUGAAAGGAUCUGACCGGGUCUAGUACGAUGGACCGAGGGGGUGCUGCUAUGCCUCCAGAGGAAAUGCAAGAUGAUAGAAGAGUUCGCUCUGCCGCGUAAGAUCCUCAAAUCUACCACGGCCACCAUCUUUUGCCUUAUAGCACGCACCUUGGACGGAUCAACUUCUACCGCCCCAUUUGCUGCCAUCGAAGAAUCGGUUUCAUCGAAGGGAUAAGCAGAUAAGAGAGGCGCAGAUAGACAAUUGAGGGAUGGAAAGCACUGCUGAAAGUCUCGUCUUUCUCGGUAUGCUGCUGAAGCAACUGCGGAACAUGUCGGGCGAUCCGCCAGAAACCCUAAACCCUAAACCCUAAACCCUAAACCCUUAAUUGAUAUUUGAAGGGCAAAUAAGAAAAGUAUUUGCUAUAUGAAGGGUAUAUAAGAAAAGUUAGUUACGGUAUAAGGGUAUAUUGAAAUGAGCAAAAUGGUAAUUUUUUAGAGAUAACGGCAACUGUUAACACCUUACUAACCGAAUUUAACUCCAGGGGUAUAUUAGAAAGAACUUGGAACAUAAGAAGAGUAUUUUCAAUAUUAGCCUUCUAAAAGGGGUAAAUAAGAAAACCGGAAACUUUUCAGGGAUAUAUAGGCAAUUGCUCCUAGAAUUUAUGGCUUCUAGAAAUGUACAUGGCUCUUCUUGUUCCACAAUUAGUGCUCGAAAUGUACUUGGAUCUACAAAAUGCUUCAAACGCAAAGGUGUGUGCCGCUCUCUUGUAGAACGUCGAGGCAAGUCAUGUAUUUCCCCACCUUCAUAAGAACUUUCUCCUUCAUUGGAAUUUUCAUAGGUUUGAUCAUCGACCUCAUCAUAUUCAAUCGGUGUAUCCUCCGAUUCAAUGUCUUCAUUUGGUGAGGUUGAAUAUGGAAAUUCAAAAUUUUGUGUAUCCUCGAUGCUUUCAUGUUCUACACCAUUUUUCAACACAUUUGAUUCAUCAAAAUGAACAUCACAACUUGUGAUAAUUUUGUGAGCCAUCGGAUCCCAUAACCUGUAUCCUUUCACACCUUUUGUAUAACCAACGAAUAUGCAUUUUCUUGAUCUUGGAUCUAGCUUAGUUCUUUGACAACUAGGAACCAAUGCAUAAGCAUGACAACCAAAUAUUUUUAGAUUACAAUAAUCACAAGGAGUUCCAAACCAUACCUCCUUCAGUGUCUUUCCAUUUAUAGCCAUGUAAGGUGAGCGGUUGACAAGAUAACAUGCCAUGGACACGGCCUCGGCCCAUAACUUGUGCUCCAAACCGGUAUUGCUCAACAUGCUACGAGCCUGCUCCAUCAAUGUAUGGUUCAUCCUCUCGGCCACCCCAUUUUGUUGUGGAUCAUAUGGGUUUGUAUAGUGUCUUCGGAUGCCAUUCUCUUUACGAAAGAGCUCAAACUCUUUAGAUUUGUCCUCCAAACCAUUGUUCGAUCGGAGAACUUUAAUGCGGCGUCCGGUGAGGCUCUCUACUUUGGCCUUGAAGUGCUUAAAUACUUGAAAUGCCUCACCUUUCGACUUGAGAAAUUUCACCCAAACCUUCCGUGAGAAGUCAUCAAUAAAUGAUAUAUAAUAAUUAGCACCACCAUAUGAAGUAGUAGGAGAACUCCACACAUCCGUAUGAAUGUAGUCAAGAAUACCUUUACUUGUAUGACUCCCGGCUUUGAAGCUCCGCUUAUGAUGUUUCCCAUAAACACAAUGCUCACAAAAUUCCGAGUCACUAAAAGUAAUAUCCGGUAUAAGUUUCUUCUUUACUAAAAUCUUCAUACCCUUCUCACUCAUAUCACCCAACCUUCUAUGCCAUAGCCGGAGAGGAAGGUCACCAUUUUCCGUCGCCGCAUAAGUUUCAUCCGUCAUUGUACUCUCCAAUAGCUUGUACAAGUUUCCAACCCGAAUGUCUUUCAUGACAACCAAUGCAUCUUUGGAGACUUUUAUAACUCCACCUUGCCCCGUAAAUUUGUAGCCUUUGUUGUCCAAUUCGGAGAGAGAGAUCAAACCUUUCUUCAAAUCCGGAACAUGUUGCACAUUUUCAAAUACCCGGACCAUUCCAUCAUACAUUCUCAAGCGCACCGAACCAACUCCCACCGUUCUACUAGUUGAGUUGUUUCCCAUCGAAAUGGUACCACCAUCGCAUUCCUCAUAGAUAAUGAACCAUGAACGAUGUGGACACAUAUGAUGAGUAGCGCCACUAUCAAGAAUCCAAUUUUGAUGAAACACCGAACUAGAACCCACCAUCAAGACCUCAUCAUCAAUAACACCCGAUGUUGUCUCUUCAACUUAAUGUGCUUCGUUGUUCGAUUCCGAGUUUUGUUUACCACUACUUGAUUCACCAUUGUCCUUUCCGCCAUUGGAGCCUUUUCUUUUAGAUAAUCUUUCUUCGAUAUGUCCGGAUUUGCCACAAAACCAACAAAGCCUUUUGUCAUUCCGAUUUCUAGACUUUGAUCUGUUCUUUGACUUGCUUCUUGAAAAAUGUUUUGACAUAUUUUCAUGUUCUUUAUAACGACCUCUUACUACAAGUGCUUCCGUUUCACCCUCCGAACUCCCCAAAGUUGCCUUUUUUUGAAGUUCAUCGGCUAACAAUGCACUACAAACGGUGUCUAAGUAAAGAGAAUCUUCUUUAGUGCAACUUAAACUUGUAAUCAAAGUCUCAUAGGAAUCCGGCAAUGUGCAUAACAAAGUGAUGGCCUUAUCUUCAUCCUUCAUCUUCUCUCCGAUACUCUCAAGCUCACAAAUAAUGUUGUUGAAUAUAUUCAAGUGAUCGAAAACCUUGGUACCUUAUUUCAUUCUCAAAGAGUACAACCGUCUCUUCAAGAAAAUUCGGUUGAUAAUUGACUUAUUUUGGUACAAGCUCUCUAACUUUGCGCAUAAUUCAAAAGCCGUUUUUUCUCCAAUUAUAUUGAAAAGAACUUCAUCCGCCAAGCACAUGUGAAUGGUGGCUAAAGCUUUCAUGUCCAUCGACUCCUCACAUUCAUUAUCGGUCAUCCACUCUGGUUUCUUAUCUCUCCCAAGUAGAUCCUUGUAUUGCCCAUAUUGUACUAAUAAAUCAUGACUUUUAACUUCCAAAGUUCAAAGUUUCUCUUUCCAUCAAAUUUGUCCACUUCCAAUCGAUUUGUUGCUAUUGAGACAAUUUAUCGAACACCUUGCACUCAACCUUGAAGCUUUGAUACCAAUUGUAGUGAGCUAAUAACGGAAUCCUCACUAUCAAGAUACUAAUCACACAAGUAAACAAAUGUGAUGUAUCUAAAUUAUCUACAACCAAGAUAUGCAAGAUUGGAAUAAAUGAAGUUGAAAGAGAAAAAUUCAAGCACAACCACAACAACAACACAAGAUUUAUGUGGUUCACCCAAAUCGGGCUACAUCCACGGACACGAAAAGAUCAAAUCCACUAUCAAAUGAGGACAUUACAAGAUUUGGUUAGAGAUUACCACUCUAUUACAAUGGGCUUGCAACCUUCUAAUUGAGAAAAAAUCUUUCUUGCUACACCUUCAUCUUAGCACCUUCCAAAUCUGCGAAACCUGCUUCGAAAUGCCUCUUAAAAUUCCUCCAAUCAAUCUUGGAAGCUUUGAAUCAAGCAAGAAGAAUAAGAGAGCUCCUUCUACAAGACUACAACCCCCUCUACACCUCUCUUCUCUAUCUCAAGAAAAGAGAACCCUAGAGAUCUAGCAAACAAAUGAGAACUCUAUCUCUCUAAACCCAAAGAGAAUGCUGCCUUUCUUAACAUCAUUUGGCCCAAUAUACGAAAUGAGUCAACUAAAGUCCAAACCAAUUACAAACUAUCUGAUUACAUGAGUUGUUGAACCAAACCUAAAAUAAAAUCAAUUAGGCUAAUAAGUGAAUUUGAUAUUACUAAUCCAACCGUACAUAUGUGUGUAAUUUCAUUAUUAUUUUACAUAUCUAUAAAGAUCUAUCAAUUGGUAUCAGAGCCAUCAACGAUAUACUAUAUAUUAUACACAAAAUUUUCUUUUAGAGCAUUGGACAAGUGCACGGAUGUAAUUUCGGCCCAUUGAAUUGUAAACAUUAUUUUAUGAAGUUACUGUUCGUCAUCUUCUUGUAAUUCCUUAAUUUAUAACAUCUUAUUAAAAAAAAAAAAGAAAAAAAAAAUAGAGAAAAAUUCUAGAAUACACCGGGUAUAUUGGUGAUCUGGCGUCACAAACCAAUCAAAUAACUCAUUUUAAAAAUAUAUGUCCCAUUAUGAUUGUAAAAAAAUAUUUUUAUUGUACUUUUGUUUGAAAAGAAGAUAUAUAAUUGGCUUGUUAUUGAUGAUGUGGUGCAAGCGUGACAGUGUAGAACUUCUCCCGGCGUUGGCGUCUCGGUGACUUUUGGUCGCAUGUAAUUAAGGUCGGUACGAACGAAAAUCCGACUUGAUGCCACGUGUACGUAGUUGCGAGAUUCCGGUAAGGACGAUCGUUGGAUUUCAAUUAGCGCGAUGGCGCCGUGAGCGAUCUGAGUCUCGGCCGUGCAUGCAUGCAUGAUGCACGAUGCUUGGCCUAUUUAUUUGAGGCGGCCUGCAUCUUUUGUUUAAUUAAAAUCCUAAUUAAAGUCAAGGAAGAAGCUGAAUAGUAUAUUUUAUUGGGUUGAUUUAACCGAUUCCACAUUAAUGAAUUAAGACAACAUAAUUUUAAAUUUAAUUAGAUUUGAUCUUGUUUUAAAUCUGUGUUUUUUUAUUAAAGUUGUCUUAAUUAAUUAUUUCCGGAUGAAGAUUGGAUUUGUUAUUAAUUUUGAUUUAUUUUUAUUAAAUUCUUGGUGUUUAAUUAGUUAUAUAAUACGGACCAUCAUCUGAAAAACAGAGUUGAGUUUAAGUCAAUCCAUUAAUACUCUAUACCCAAAUUUUCUUUUUACUCGCCAUGAAGCUAUUUAUUAUGCUCCAUAAAGUAUUGUGGAUACCAAAAUUUUGUUCACAUAAAUAAGCUUUUGACUUUGCAUAUAAUAUUAAUUUAUCAUAAAUUUAUUAAUCUUAUGUUUGUGGUUAUAUUAUAAGAAUAUAUAAAGUUCGAAUUAUGAUUGCCAUAUCGUAUUUGAAAUUGUUGCAUCAAUAUUUUUAUUUUGAUCCGACAUAACAUAAAAAUAUUUGUUUUAGAUUAUUUAAGAUUCGGUGUAAGUUAAAUUAAUUUAUUAUUUCGAUUGGAUAGGUGCGAGUCAAAGCGGCCCUAAUUAAAAAAAAAUAAUAAUUAAUUUACUUUAAAAUAGUGCUUCUGGAUAAUUUUCAUGUUAAUACUGCAGCACUAAGUCAGGUUAAUUUAUUGCUUCAACUGUUUGGGUGCAAGCCAAAGUGACCCAGACAAGAAGGAAAGAUAAAUUAAUCGCAUUAAAGAAGUGCAUGCAGAAAUUGUAUCCUAAUAUUAUAUUUAAUUUACUCCUAAAGAAGGUUUAGACAUGAAGGUAUAUGGGUGGUGCAGAAUGGUAAUUUUCUUAUAACUCAUUUGCAAAAAUUUGCCCGACCAAAGCUGGCAACUUUUUCAAACAGAAAACUUAAAAUAUCACGGCGUACAGAAAGUUUAAAUUAAUUUUUGAUAAAAAGAUUGUAUAUUUAUACUCAUAACUUUACUCCCAAAUGAGGGAUUAUGAUGUCAUAUAAAGUAUAUGCAUAAAGAAAUCGAAAUAAUUAUGCUCAUAAUUCUGCUUCCAAAAGAGGUGUUGUAAUGUCAUAUGAAGUGUAUAUUUUUAAUUUUAGUGUGAUAAUUUUUAGAUGUGGUAUUUUGUUGAUAAAACAUGCAUUUUAUUUUAUGUUUCAGCUAUGUCUUCAUCAUUUGUUUCUAUUGGUGACUCUGUUUCUAUAUUUAAUGAUUCUAAUUACUCGGAGUGGAAUGAACAGAUUAUGCUUACAUUAAGCUAUAUGGAUCUUGAUUUGGCUAUAAAAAAGGAUGAAUCUGCUCCUCUUACAGAUAAAAGUACGCCAACCGAAAUAACAUUUGCAGGAAAGUGGAAGCGCUCUAAUCGUCUUAGUUUAAUGCCAAUGAAAGUGCGUGUCAAUAAAAAUUUUUGGAAUUCAAUUCCAGAGUGUGAGACAGUUCGCGAUUUCUUAAAUAUUGUGGAGUAAUAGUUUGUAACCUCCAGUAAGAUUUUGGCGAGCACCCUAAUGAUGUGAGAUAUUGCAGUGCAGUUCACUGCACUUGAAAUAAUUAUCUCUAAUUCAUUUUUAGUGCACUUUAUUUUGAACUCUUUGUCAUCUGAAUACGAACCAUUUUAUAUCUCUUAUAUUAUGAACCAAAUUUAAAAUUUAAAGUCGAGAUGAUAUACUUUAUUUAACUUAUUCGAACUUUUAAAACUAAUUUAUUUCUAGUUAUUUCAUUGAAAGAUAUUGGAUACUGCAAAUAUUUUGUAUGUGUUUGUGCAUGUGAAGAAUAUUCUAAAUAGAUAUUCUUUUGUUGGAAAAAAAUUGAAUAAGUAUAAUUUUUUUUUUUAAUUUCCGCAAAUAAAAUUCAAUAUAAAAAUGCGUCUGUCAAUAAUUAUUUUAAUAGUUAUUUCAAAUUAAUAUAAAUUUAUAAAUCAUAUUUAUCAAAAAAUUUAUAAUAAAAAUUUAAUUUUAAAAAAGUAAAUUUAUCUAUUAUAUUUUAUUUAGAAAUAUCUGUCAUAUCAUAAUUCAAAUUCAAAUAGUUGCUUUCCACAAAAAUUAUAUAGUUCUAUUUUUUUACUUUUUAUAUAAAUUGAAUAUUUCACUAUAUUUUUUGGUUUUUGAUGAAUCUAAAAUUUAAAUAUAUGUUUUAAACUAAAAGUAUCGAAAUUUUAAUUCAUGUUUAAGUCAACAUUUAAAAUAUAAUUAAUGAUCCACUUUAAUUAAAACAUUUAGUUGUUAAUUCAAAUUUAAUAUCUAAAAUUAUAUUUAAUUCAUGACUGAAACUCAAAUUUUAAUUUUAAUUUAAUAUUUUUAAAUUUAAAUUUAAAUUAUAUAAUUAAUUUCAACUCUAAAUUUCAAAUGAUAUAAAAAUUUCAAAUAAGAAAAAUAGAUAAAUAUUUAAAUGUAAAUUUAAUUUUUAUUAUUGGUUGCAAUGAAUAAAAAGUUAAUAAAAAAACUAACUAUUAGUAGAGAAAAUUAAAUUAAUCUUUAAAUUCAAAUGCGUAAAUAGGAGAUAGCGGAUAUUACGUGUGCGAGAAUAUUAUGUCACAAUUCGACGUUAGAUGAGAUUAAUGGCAAAAGCUAAGAUCUAUAUUUGAGAAUAAAUUGUAUGUGAUAAAUUAUUUGAAACGAAUGAAUAAAAAUUACUGGAAACGAAAGUAUUACUAAAAAAACAUAGAUACAUUUUCGGAAAGGAAAAAAAAAAGCAAAACUCACGCGUUAUAAGUAGUAUAGAUAUGGGCAAUUAUUUAUAUAUUUUUGAAAAGUUUCACUUUCUUAAUUAUUACCCAUCUUAAAAGAUUAAUAUAAAAAGUAAACAUUCCAAAUUCUUUCAAAUAUGCCCAUAGAAUUAAAAUUUAUUAGUAAACAAUUAGGAUAAAUCGUUAUCUCUGUGAAAUUACUGUUUUUCACUUUCAAAUAUACUCUUUUACGUCACCAACUUUUUUUAAUUUAUUCUUAAGUUAGGUCAAAAAAGUAUUUUGAUUUUUCGUCGGUUUAAAUAUAUCCUUUUACAAAUACUAACUUUUCUUAUUUGCCCUUAUGUUACAGAUAAAAAAGGUAUUUUGGCUUUUUUUUAAACUCGGGUAGAAAUUUAAUUCUUAAUAUGAAAUAACUUAACGGGUAUUAACGUCGGGGUUGGCCCACGUCAUCCUAACCAUCCAUUUCUCAAUCCAAGGGCUAAAAAAUCAAUAGCAUCAAUAGCUUCGUGCUAUUGAUUGUAUUCUAGUUUAAUCCAUAUAGAGCUAGGCUGGUAUACUAUCGGUAGCACGGAGGCCUCCGUCCUACCAAGUUGUUUUCAAUGAUACGGCUUCCAAAUCGACGAUCAGCUCCGUUAGACUUGAUCUAUACUAUUGAAAGUAUUUGGAAACUAAAUUUCAUAAUUUUUCGGUAUCAUUUACCUAUCAAACGAGUAGUCUAAAAAUGAACGGCUGAAAAUAAAAGUCUCAUAAAAAAUGAUGAUAAAAUACUUGAAUUUAAGAUUAGAGGUACUGAUCUUAUUCUGAAUAGUAAAAAAAAUUUUCUAUAAAAAUUUCAUUAGAUUUGGAUUAUUUUACACCGUUAAAUUCACAAACGCAUCACAUCUACCAUUAAAAUUGUCAAUUUUGAGACAUUUUGAUCACUAGCCAAAUGAUGUCGAAAAAUUAUGAAAUUUAGUUUUCAAAUACUUUCAAUAGCGUAGAUCAAGUCUAACGAAACCGAUCGUCGAUUUGGAAGCCGCAUCAUUGAAAACAACUUGGUAGCAUGGAGGCCUCCGUGCUACCGAUAGUAUACCAGCAUAACUCUAUAUAUAUAUAUAUAUAUAUAUAUAUAUAUAUAUAUAUAUAGAGUGAGGCUACUAUGCUUCUGGAAAUACGGAGCCUCCCAUACUUCCAGGUCAUUUUUGAUGUUGCGACUUUCGAAUAGUCGAUCGGCUCCGUUAAACUUGAUCUACAGUAUUUGAAGUAUCUAGAAAAUAAAUUUUGUAAUUUUUUGAUAUUUUUUGCCUAGUGAACUAAGGGGCUUAAAAUCAACGGUUGAAAAUAAAAAUCUUACAAAACGUGAUAAUAUGACAUGGUGCGUUUUGUUCGAGUUAUCCUGGCAGGAUUACAAGCAAUCCUGACAGGAUAGCUGUGUUUGGUUAAUCCGCUAUGUAAUCAGUCGUUAAUGUAGCAUUACAAAUCGAGCAGGAUUACAUCGAAAAUAUUAACGGGAUGGGGGUCGUGUAUCUUGCAUUACUGAAACCCGUUAAUACUAUAUAUUAUGUAAAAUAACAAUUUUACUCUCCAACAAUCCCAAAUCUAAUUAGCAGCAUUAUUUUCAUCUCUCUCUCUCCUUCCCCCCUCUCUCUCGCACGAUGCUUUCUCUCGCUCUCUCUCUCUCACACGUAUGUCUCUCUCUCUCUCUCUCUCUCUCUCUCUCUAUCUCUAUCUCUUUCUCUCUCUCGCACGAACAUCCAUCAUCUUAUAUUGCGUCGUCUUCCCAGGUAAUCAUCACGAUCUCCUUCCCUCCAUUCGUCACUUUCGCAAAAAAUAAUAUUCAAAUGACCACAACAAGGGCAAUUUUGGAAAAAACUAUACUUUUAUGUCAGGAUUACUAAAUUUUAUAAACUGAACCAAACAUAUUAAUGCUAUAAACACUGUAAUCUAGUAUUACAUUACUGCAUUAAACCAAACGCGCUAAUGCAGCAUCAGUAGUAAUCUCACGCCGAAAUCCAAGAUACCUGGAUAUGUCGAGAUAUUUUGUAAUUGUGAGAUCCCUGGUGUUUGACUGUGGAGGCUUGUCGACAGCUCUGGAGAGUGUCAGGACAAGUCCGAGUCGCGUUGGUGUCAAAUAGACGUAAAACGGACUCCGUGCGACGCCAGGGCAACUUAUCGCGAAGAAUUCUGCAAACAGCAGC
rnacentral:lncRNA from 1 species